UUUUUUUUUUUUUUUUUUGGUUGGUAAGCGAGGUUGUGGGGACCCCUACCCCUUUUAAAUUACGUGUGGAAACUUAUAUCAACAAUCCGCUGUUGACGUGUUUCGAACCCACGACCUCUCCACUUUGUGAGAGAGGUGCUACCAUUGAGCCACAGGCUCAUUCGCAAAAAAAAAAAUGGUUUGGUAAGCCUGUUUUUAAUGAGAUCAGUAACUCGGUAAUGCUGGCGGGAUUUGAACCCCAGACCUCUGGUAUCAUCACCCAGAGGUUUUACCAGUUGAGCCCAACUGACACCUGCAAAAACAUGGUUUGGUAAGCCUGUUUUUAAUGAGAUCAGUAACUCGGUAAUGCUGGCGGGAUUUGAACCCCAGACCUCUGGUAUCAUCACCCAGAGGUUUUACCAGUUGAGCCCAACUGACACCUGCAAAAAAAUGGUUUGGUAAGCCUGUUUUUAAUGAGAUCAGUAACUCGGUAAUGCUGGCGGGAUUUGAACCCCAGACCUCUGGUAUCAUCAUACCAGAGGUUUAAAGAGAUUUACCUUUCGGAAUUGAGUAACAUCACUAUAAUAUAAAAUAUUUCCAUUAGAAGUUUAUUAUUAUUUGAUAUUAAACAGGCAGUUGCCUUGUCCAGCCUUGAUAUAUAAAUGAUACCUAUAGAUGGUAUAAUUUUUUUUUUUUUUUGGCUAAGUUGGUAUGAUACUGCAUGAGCAAAAACAAAUCUACGGUGAUGAAUCAGUUCAGUUUUAGCUAAGUAAUAAAAUGUGACCAAGUAUUUCCUUCCUCAUAAAAUAGAUGAUUCUGGCCAAGACCUUCUUAAGAUUAAUUUUAAUCCAUUAGGCUACUGAAGAUUUACUUUACAACUACCAAUAUCCACAGUUCUUCUCAUUAGAUUUUAGUCCACAACUACCACCUAAUUGCAAUAUGUACUGAAGAUAAUCCCUACAAUAAAUCAAAUCAAGCUAUUACAUUCAAAGUUUUGAACUAAGAGACAAUAAGACAAAAACGUUCAGAUAGAAAACCAGAAAUAAAGUGUAAAAUGUAUGAAAAGGAUAAUUGAAUAAAGAGUAGCAUACCUGAGACUGACAAAAUUGUGUCUUUUCCUUUAUUUAAUCUGAAGACAAGGAGUCUCUACGAAAGAAGAAAGAGACAAAGAAGGAGAGUCAGUGAAAUUAUGCCAGAGAAAGAAAGCAAAGAGAGUGGUAUCAGUUGCUAUGUUUUAUUGAUUGAUCAAGAGCAUUACGUUAGUAUUAUUUUAAGGCUCCUAAGUGACCAACCCUACUCAUAAGGGGAAAAAACUGGUAGCUUGACCAGCAAUAUCAUUGAGACAGGGCCAACAAUAUAAAAGCGUUUACUUCAGCCGUGCAGGGCCAACAAAAAUCAUUAGGCCAUCUCCAAUACACUUGCACCAUGAAUAAAGCCACCAACUAAAUCAUUCCUUUAAACAAAAGCUAUAAAUGUUAUACAAGUACCAAAAAGAAGAGAUGAUAGGAACAAUUUCAAAAGGAACAGAAAUGAGAGCAUAAGUAGUAAGUUCAAAAUGAAUAUCACAGUGUUCCAUAUAAAAAGCUCAGCUAUAAAAACCAACUCAACCAAUUGAUGCAAACAAUUCAAAGCAUGAAAUGUAUUCGGGCAUCAACAACUUGUGUUAUUUUCCAAGAAAUAGCAUUUUAAGAUACUGAAAUAAGUCUUUGACGUAGACAAUAAGUCCCAUAGAAACUAUUAUAAGCCUAUUUUGUUUUGUUUUUGGAUCUUUAUGUUUAUUAAGUAAACUCAUUGAGCUCACAAAUUUUAUUUUUUAAUAAAAAUAUGCCACUAAUAAGCAAAAUGCAAGUAAUGUUGCUUGAUGUACAAAGUACCUAAGCUGUCCAUAUACGCAAGCUUUAGACCUUAUUAAGGACUAUGUAACAAAGAGACAUUCCAUGAUAAAAGGAAAUCAAACUCUAUGAAAUCUUAGUUACCUUAACCUACUUGAAGAGUUGAGGAAAAGAUAACAUUUGAGAGAGCAGUGGUGAUAGAAUGGCAGUUCAAACGGAAUUAAUAAAUUACUUGGAAAAUAACAGGUAAUUGAAGGAAAGACUUCUAGCAUGACAUCAAUAACUAAGAACCUGAAUAGAGAAGAAGAUGGCCUAAGCAGACAUAUGUCGCUUUGAUUGAAAUGUCAAAGCUACUGUAAAAAAAAAGAUGCUGGAAGAAGGGCUUGAACCUUUGACCUUGUGGUUUAAAAGCCACAUGCUCUACCAACUGAGCUACACAAGCUAAUCAAGCAUCAUUCUACAUGCAAAUAUUUUCUAAAAGACAUGACAUUGUGUUGUAAAUAAAACUAAGCUAGGGUUAGCCGAACCCCACUAGUUUUCUUCUCUGAAGACAUGACAUGACACUGGUUUUCUUCUCUGAAGACAUGUUUGAUGUUAACCUCCUAUUUAGAUCAUCUAUUCAAACGAAAAACAAUGUCUAACCAAGUGUAUUGCGUUCUUUAAAGGAAAAUGUGAAACAAAAUAGUAGGAGGAUUAAAUCCGAAUUAGAGAAAUCACAGUGGUUAAAACUUAAAAUUCAAGAAACCAAGAAUUACAGUGCCUACGGCAGCAAAGGUAGGAUUAAAACACUCUUGAUCUAUUGUCAAGACCACCAAGUAUAGCACCUGCUAUCUUUACGCAAAACUUGGAUCGACAACCUCAUUCAAGCCACUCAUCUCAUAGUUGAGGCUAACUCACUUACAAUUAUUAAUGUAAUUUUGAGAAAGGAAGAGAGUCCUUAGUACUACGUCAAUACAAUGGCUAAUAUCAAGGUGCUAGCUACAAACUUUACAUUUAAGUAUGUAACUACAGUAACUAUCCAGUAUAUAACAUGCAGUCAACUUAUUAUGAGCUCCAGGAAUUACUUCCUUUGGAAAAGAACAGAAAAGAUGAAUACAAAAUCACUCUUCAAAAGCUGUGAAAACAAUAAUAAGCAUAAUGAGCAUUUUCUGUAAGCAGUUGACGUCGAUGGAAAAUUGAAGGCACAUUACCGAAGUGAAUGUUUUUUGUUUGACAGUUUUGAAUUUUACUUAUUUUCUUUGCAUCAGAUGUGCAACAGAAAAUGAAGAAAAUCAAUGGAAUCUACAUAUUCAUAGAAGACCAUUUGAUUGGGAGAUGGAACAUUUGAUUGACCUGGGUGCGACCUUUGGUAUCUCUUGGGGUUCUUUAUCACCAACUAAUGAUGAUUGUCGUCUUAAUCCACAUGCCCUGAAAAGUUUUUGAAAUCUGAGUUCUACCUUUUGUAGCCACUCUUCAACUGAUCACAAAUUUCAUUUAAUGGUCUGCUCAGUUUUGCAUCUUGUAUUCCUAGCAAUCCAUAUAGAAAGUAGUAUGUUACCAAUAUAUUCCUAUGAUAUUGUUUUCAAUUUUAGGUCUGCAUCAUUUAUCAAAUAUUCACAUGAAGAUAUUAGAUAGCAUAUAGGAUGAUAAUUUUAACAAUUGUAUUGAUCCACCGAGCUCUAAAAACUCUAAAUAUAGCUCAAGACAAAAGACUACCUAAAUAUCACAAUCCAGAGUCCAGACCUCAAGUCAUAACAGGUUGUAAUGUAAAGCAUAUAGCUCAGACAUGGAAAUAAAACACUAAAUAUAACAGAAACUGAAAUAUUUUCAACAAAACUGAUUUCAACACAAUACUGAAAUUUUUUCCACAAUCAACGCAGCCACUCAUAACGACAUGCUCAAUAAUACAAGGUUAUCUACCUAUAGGGCCUAGAAAGGUUUAUAGGAUUAUCAUUCAGGCAGUAAAGUUUUUAGACAUAGGUAUAGCCCUAACUGUUGAACACACUGCACACUUUGAACACCACCAGGCAUUUCAUCAUCCUUAUCGUAGGCUUCAUUUUGAGCUGCAUGUUCCUCCUCACCUGCUCCUCAUUGUUUACCUCAUACAGAGUCCUCCUCAAUAAACAGAGUUGCUUCCUCCUCAAUGAUCACUAUGUUAUUUUUAUUCUAAUAAGAAUAUAUCAGAGAAUCUUUAAUGUCUAAACUUACACAUCUACCUAGGUAGCAAUAUCCUAGAGCACAUUCAUACAAUUUUGUAUGUCUAAACUCAAUUAGAUGAGACAACUUUUGUGUGUCAAGGAUUAACUCAAGCAAGACAUAAUAGUUCUGGCUUUCUAUAAAUUUUAGUUUUAGCUAGUGUCAUGUAGAUGGCAAUACAUCCUACUAUUUUCUUUUCCAUAAUCAUAUUUCCUUUACUUAUUACGUGGGAGAGACAAUAGAAAUCCCAUACAAAUCCACAUUUCCCAUAUAGUAUUGUGUGGUCAUAAAUUAUAUUGUUUGUUAAGGAAAAAAAUAUUUUAAUGCACUAUCAAAUCCUAUAAUCUCUAUCUGUUUACAAUCGAGUUGCACGUUGAAUGAACCAAUCCAAGAAGCCCAAACUUAAGAAGCUAACUAAUGUUUGUUCAUCUAAAAUGCAGAAACAAAAUUGUCUACACAAAAUAGAUAGAACAGAUAUCCAAAUUGAUUAAAAUUAAUUGAACAAUUUCAAAUUCAUGGCAUGUUACGCAAAAGUAUUUAUUACAUCUUAGAACAUUUAACAUAUUCAGAAGCUGUAAUAACUAAAGAAAAAAAACCGUUGAGUUUUUAGAAGCCACGAUGUCUUAUGCCUUAAUUCAGCCGAAUAACUGCUGCAGUACACACACAAUACCAACUCCAUAAUAUAUCUUUUUAAAUCGACAUGAAGCUGUAAUGAUCGUACGUCAAACCUUGUCCAAGCAACUGGUUGAAUAUGACCCUCAAGCUGACAGUGAGGUUGAAGUUGUUUGUACUGGAGAGCGAGAGAGUGAUUCAUUGAGGCUUCAACUAAUUUCGGUCCUGAAUAUUUUAACUACUUUGAUGACAUUUCUCCUGAUUUCUGUACAAUGGUAAUUGAAUUAGAUUUUUUUGUUCAUAAGUAAGAAGAAUAUAUAUGAAAAAAAAAAACGGAAGAAUCUAAUUCCAUUAUUAGAAAAUCAAACUUAUGAGUUCUUUGUAGAGGGGUGGACAAACCAAAAUUUUAAAAGAUUUUCUUCUUUUGAUUUCAAAUGCAGCUAAGAUGAUGAUAAGAUUCUAAUAAAUCAUCAACACACAUGUAAAUAUAUUAAAAUUUUCUCUCCACACUCUAUCUUAUCACAAAACCUUAUGAAAUAGGAACCCUACCUUCCCUGGCUUAUAGGGGGACAUAAAAUCUUAGAUGAAGUUGUAGAUUGAAAUAGUAUACGAUGGGCUCUAUUAUAUAUUCAGUUUAUCAUAUAUCAAAUUGUAUAAAGGCUUUCCAAUUUGUAAAGUAUGACAGUUUCUCUAUUGAUCAUAUAUGGUGUUAUUAAUUUAAAAUAGUAAGAAAUGCUCUAACCAAGUUGUUGGGAGGCUACUAAUGCUACUCUGUUAACAACGUUUGUUUCUCUUCAGUUUAAAUUUAUUUUUUGAGUCUUUCUGUAUGACAUUCAGAAAGUUGUAUAGAGAGAAGAAAGGAAAGAGAAUCAGAAAAACAUGACGCAAUUGUCUUCUUCUACUGAGCUCUAGAAUUUGAGAAGUUGUUUGAGAUUAGGUUUAAGAGAGAAGUUUUGAGAUUGCUUUUUGAGUCUUUCAAUUAGAUAUUAUUAAUUAAUCUAUCAAAUUGUAAGAUAUGAAUAUAAACAUAAGAAUCAAAUGAUGCAGAAAACACUUGUGAGAGCCAUCAAUUACAAACUAUCAUGUCUUUUAGAUUUGAUUGAAGAUGAAUUACCAAUUAAUCUGUAUGAUCAAUUAAUAGCACAUACCUUUUGAGGAAUUGGUUGGAGAGCUUCAAAAUUUAUAAGAGAGCACAUACGUUUUUAGAGGAGAGGACUGACAAUCAUUAUAAUGAUUAUAAUGAUUAUAAGAUAUAUUAACCGAGAGAAAAACAGAGAGAGAUCAGAGAUAGCGGAAGAGAAAUUAAGGUUUGGCCGGUGAGAGAAAUUAGGGCUUUGAUUGUUAUAAUGCAACAUGACCUUUUUCCAUCCGAAUUGAGUCUAGCCCAUUAAAAUACCUGAACCAUCCACUUAAGUCAGAAAUCUAAUCUCUGUCGUCCAUCUAAAAUCAGACGGUCCAAAAUAUCUCUCAAAAUUGUCUUUUUCUCAAAACUGUCUCCCCAACUUAUGUACCCUUUGUGUUUUAUAACUUAGAUAUAUGUUGACUGUUUUUGAGAGCACAAGAUUUAAGUGGAGCCGUGGAGGAGUACUAUUUGUUUCUGGAUUUGGGCUUUGGUCCGUUUGGGCUCAAAUGUACCACUUGGAACGGAAACAGAUGUCUAUAACUAUUAAGUCUCACACACCAACUUCUUCUUCAGUGCUUCAUCAAGGCAGGGGUAGGGUAGGUAAUGGCAACACACUGUGAACGUUUUGCUUUGAAUUUCAUAUUCGCGGCAUAGUGAAACCAAUAUUCUGUUAUUUAUGGAUGGAUUCACGGAGAGGAUUUUUUUUUUUCUAGAAGAGAGACAAAACAAGAUUUACAAUUUAUUAUGGGUGGGCCAUGCGCGUGGAUGUGGGAAUUGAGGAAUAAUACUGUGUAUGAUGAUCACAGACAACAUGUUUGCCUGUGCGAUCCUUAGGGACAUUGAGUCUGGAUGGAGCCGGGGUAUGGUCCAGCUUCCAAAAGUUCAAUUGAUGCAUUUGUGCUGUGAUAUUUGAUAUUUGAUAUUUGAAGAGUUUGAAGUGGGAUUAAAAAGUGACAAGAACUUGCACAAUUUUCAUUGAAAGUGUAUUUCACUAUUAUGUGCCCCAUUUGCAGAUUCAAGAUGCAGUGAAGGCUCUUUAAUAUCUUUUCUAUAAACUCUUACCUUUCACUUUACUGCAAGUCUUGUGAAAUUGAAGUUCCACAAAUUUGGUUAAUCCAAUUAGCCUGGAAAGCAGAUUCCGGCAAUAGUGCAACUAAAAGGAAAGCGGUUUCCUUAUCUUAAAUAUGGAAUUCAGUUUCCAUAACCAGUCAGACAAAUCCGGCAAGUAUCCAUCUAUAUUCCAACAUUGCCCUCUGUUUUUCUCGAAUCUUAAUUCCCCGAACCAAACACAGCCAUUUAUAUACAAUAAUAAAAAAGAGCACUUGGCACGUGAAAAUAAAAGGUACAGAUUUAAUUACAAAUUGGUUCUUCGACAAAUUUCAUCAAUUAAAUUAAAUUUCCAAUUUCUCAGGUCAACAACCUCAGGUUGCAAUGUUGCAUUGAUUGCCAUAUUCCAACUGUGGUAAUGCCUGAGAUUGGCGGAAACUGGAAAGUCACAGCAGCAACUGAGCUGUUGUGCAUCAAGACCCAAGUUUCACAAAUAGACCGCAUCACCGCUUAGACAUGUUCAACAAUAAUGGCAGCAUCAUAUCUUGGCUUGUAUAUUUCCUGAGAGCUUGGAAAGAACAAUGUUUAUCAACAUAACAUCUAAGAUAAGAAAUAUGCAUCAUUUUUACACUGUUUCUCUCCAUGUUUACAACAGCCUUGAGAUUACAAGCCAAUGACAGGCUAGCAAGCCACGCCACAAAUAACAUUCUGUUGCACCACACCACAGAACUCAAACUCGUGAUGGGCUAAAGAAUCAUAUAACUAUAUUUCUAUUGCACCAAAGAAAGUUAUAAAAAAUCAACCUGUAUUGCACCAAAGAAAGUUAAAAAACUCAAGCUGUAUAGUUGGGCACAAUCUCCAUUAGCUGAAAGGAUUCAAGUUAAAAGCCUUCGAAAUUCGCCACAAGUAACAUAUCUCUAUACAGCAUGGGUCUCUUCUAUUUAACAAGUGUAUUGUCCUAGAUGUGCAAAAACAAAAUCACCCUAUGAUUUUAUACAAGGAAACUGAUCUAGGACAUCAUACACAGAUUUACCUUCUCCCACUCUCCAAAUCAUUUAGGCCAGAGUCAUGUUCUUCAGAUGAUGUAUACGAUUGGUUAUUCUGUUCAUUUUGUUGCUGCAAAACUUGUGCCUCCAUCACUUGCACAUUGAGUGCAUUCACACCAUUGGUUUGUUGUGCACUACGCUCCUCCAACAUACGGAAAUAUGCAUACGGCCCCCAACCUACAUAUCAUAGAAUAACAAAAAUGUUAAAGAUAUUGUUUCAUCGUGCAAACUUUGUGAAGCUGUAAAAUAUAUAUCGCAGUUUCAGGCGACUGCAAAUGAACUAAUAUCUCAAGUCAUCAUCAUCCACCCCCAACAUUACGCACAUAGAGACAGGCCCUCACAUGCGCGCAUACACACUCAAUACUAGCAACGGAGAAGUAACCAUAUACUUUUUCCUACUGUACUUCGGAAAAGGGAUUGGUUUUCUGUUCAGUCAUUUUCACAAUCAAAAGGUUGAUAAAAUAUUUUCCUAAUUUUUUGUUUAUUGCGAAGAAAUGCAUAUCUAUGAACAUAACUUUUUCAGAUAGACCUGUGCAGACCACUGUCGUACCUAAUUAAUAACUGAGAUUGUCAACAUGUUAAAAUUUUCAAGAAAGGAAGUGUUCAAAUCUACAUUGUCAAAUACACAACACUGCCUUACACUAAUAUACAAAGGUGUAUUAAAGGACUAAAGCCAUAAUAUGUUUUAGUUUUAAUGUCAAAGAAGAAGAUGCUAAAUUUUGGAAUAUAUAAAACUCCACUCGAGAAAUUUUAAAGCGUGUAAACUGUAAACCAAAUGAAGACCAGUUCCAAGUUCAACUCAAGCAAUUAAAGGAAAGGAAACAUUUCAAAAAUCAUUGUCAAAAGAUGAGAAUGUUACCAUCAUCACUAUAAGGGGGAGGAAAGAACUGCAGGUAACAAAAUGUGGCAAUGGCCAAACCUAUACAAAAUUUGUGUUUAAAAUUAGUAAAAGGUAAGCAUCAAAGUGGAUAUCUGAGUAGUUUCAUCUACAAAAAGGUAACUACUCUGACUGUCACAAACCUAUGACGCCUCCAGCAAAAACAUCUUGCCAGUGGUGCCAAUAAUCAUCCACACGAGAUAUACCAACAAGACAAGCCAACAGUAUAGGAAGAAUGACAAUGCAUAACUUCCACACGUGUCCUCUACGAUCAAAUACUUUGAUUUUUCCUGACAGAUACAACGAAAGAAAACCAAGACCAGCGAAGGAGCCUGCAAAAGAAACAAAACUAAUAUGAACUUUAACUAUAAAAAACAUUUUUGCAAUAAGUAUAUAACAUCUCAACAUCCUAUAGGUAUGAGUUACAAAUAAAUAGCAACAUUACACGUGGUAAGCAUAAUUUCCUCAGCUGAUAUUGCUUUCCAAAUCUAAAUCAAGUAGCAGUAUAUAUAUUAUUCAUUCAGGAUUGAACUUGGAAAAAUUAGUUAGUGAUUAAUAAAAUUGGUAUGCUUUUUCUGCAUAAGAAAUAAUGAACUGGUGCUUACCUGAUGUAUGACCACUCGGAAAACUCUUGUGCCCUUCCUUUAUGACACUAGCCUGUCCAUGGCAUAUAACAUUUCCUAAACUAUCAUAAACCUGUAAGCCCACAAAAGGGGUGUUAGUAUCCGUUCAGUACACUAGUUAUAAGGGUCAAAGAAGAUCACAUUGAAAACCCAUACAUAUUUUUCAUAUUGCAAAGAUCAUUGAUACAAAAUAUCAGUGGGAUAUCGAGGCCUAACCAAAUAAAAUAUUGCCAAACCUAAAAAUAUGAACUGCACGAGGACCUCAACACACAAAUGAGUUGUGUACAUGUAACCUCGCUCAAGACACACUUUUUGGCUUGAGGUUCAAGAAAUACUUAACAAAUAGGAUCCUGAUACAUGAAGUGUGUCUUGUAUUGAGAUAGCAUAUAUACAAUUCUUUUGCACACUGGCUGUAAGCAUUUUACAUAUACUCUAUGAUACUGAUUCCAUUGUACAAGAUUUUAUGUUUGAAUCAUCAAAUUUAUUUGGAAAAAACACUGUAACUGUAGGUAAGAAUCAAAUCAAACUGUUCCUUACGGACUUGAAAAUUAGGUCAACUCUGACAUUCAGUUUAUAGAAAAUAUUCAUAUUUUCAGACUAAUCCAAUUUGUUUGAAGUCAGCUUAGUGUGUUAGUUACGAUCACCAUAUUGACUAAUUAUUACGAAAAAAGAGCUUACAUCUUUCCCAUCAGGGAAACAACGCCAAAAGAAGUCUGGUCGAGGUCGUCCAACUGCGUUUUUAAUUGCAUCAGUAAUCACCGCUGUUAUAAAUACAGCAAACAAAAGCCCUGCCAUUCACAAAUGGUAUCCAUCAUCAGAUAAGUUCUUCUUGGAGAUACAUGUAUAAAGAAAAAACCCCUCCUAUUCACAAUAGAUACAUGAAAAUAGUAUAUAGUUACCUAAUAUACCAUGAUGCAGAUCAUAAACAUCUCUCCGCCGAUAGUAAAUGAACAGGAAAACAAGGCUUGGUAACAGCAGAGAGUACACCUGGUUAAAAGGAAAACAUGGUCGUUCGUGAUAUUUACAUACAAAAUUAUUAUGCACAUGAUACUAACACUAAUUAUCCACACAAACUCACCGGAACCGCCCAAAAAGGCACAGUAUUCUCUUUCAAGGGAUACUUAAGGUCAGUCAUCAUAUCCUUCCCCACAAAGCGAUAAAACGGAUCUAUUAAUGCAUACAUAACAAUCUCAAUAACCACAAGAAGCAACAAUAUAAGCCAAUCAUGCAUAUGUGUUCUUGCAACUUCCCUUCCAUGAGAUCUUACAGUAUGUUGACCAAGUUGUACUUCUCUCAUUCCCAAUCCCUGCUUAAAUCAUUCCAUAAAAAAAAAAAAAAAAAAUCAAAUUCUGCCUACACUACACAUGCAAAAUUCAAACCCCAAAAUCAAUUUCUACCCAUUAAAUCAUAUAUAUAACAAUGUGUAUAAGAAUUCAAGCUACUUUGAGCAAAUACCUGAAAACCCAAGAUUUUGAAGUUAUUUCUAGCUACCAACCUGUAUAAGAGCCAUGCAUUCCUCUUAAUUUCUCAAACCAACUGAAAAAACCUGUUCUUCUCUGACAAAGACAUGUUUAAUCAUCAAGAGAACAACAAAGAAAUUCAAAUUUCAAAAACAAAAGAAAACUAAUAACAAGAGAAAGAAAGAAAGGAAUGGUUUCGGUUUCAUUCACACAAAAAAAAAAAUCUUAUCUUCGUUAAGAAAGCGAAUUAGUAAUAAGAAAAAAACAAACAUGGAAGGAAGAUAAAGUAAAAGAAGAGAAACAAAUUACCUUAAAGCGAUAUGGAAUUCAGAAAAGCAAAACCCUUGUUGUUUUGUUAAAAGUAUGUAUUUUAAUUUGAUUAUUUAAACUGUUUUUUGUUGGUUGGUUAAAGAAGUCAGUUAGAGCAUUCCCAAUGGUAGGUUUUAAAUCACUUUUAACAACUUUUAGUAAAAAACUCUUGCCAAUAGUGGGUUUUAACACACUUUUCAAGCAAAACACUUUUAUCUCCUUGGCAAAUUUGCCAAGGAGUUAAAAGUGCCACAUAGGACCAUUUUAUUAAUUAAAAAUUAAAUUUCAUCACAAUGUACACUAUAUUUUUUGGGAAAAGUGAAACCUUAAAUUUUAACCCUUGUUUUAAAACCAACCAUUGGUAACUCUAAAAGUGCUAAUCACUUUUAACAUAAAUUUUAUGCUAAAACUUUUUCUCUCUCUCCUAUGUGGCACCCUUAAAACCCUUUUACUAUUGGGAAUGCUCUUAUGUUUUAUAGUGACGUUUAGUUGUAGCGAAUCACGCAAUUUCACGUGGUGUUUCAAAAUGGAUUCAGGACAGUCUCGUCUUAACUCUUUUAAUCAGCUAGGUUAUAAGCAAAGCAAGAACUCAAGCGUGAGUAAUAUGUCGUAAAGCGUGGUUAUUCCAUGGCUGAGAUUUGUUCAUCUGGGGGUCUUUAUUACUGGAGACUGGAGUGCCAAGCUUGCUGGUCCCAAAUGGGCCGGAGAAUUUUAUAUGUGUAGCCUACUUGCAUGUGGGUGUGUACACCCAGUCACAAAACGCCAUGUGGCAAUAAUAAUAUAACCUAUGUAUGGGUUUAGUUAACCUUAGUGGGCUUAUCAGUUACCCAACCACUUUAUAGACACGUGGCGUUAUAUGAUUGGGUGUACACACCCAAUCAUCUCAUUUAAAUUAUUAUUCUAAUCUUGUUUCCAUUUUCACUCAAUGUGCUGAUGAGUGGAACUCUAGUCCUGAUUUUGUUUCCAUUUUCACUCAAUGUGCUGAUGAGUGGAACUCUAGUCCUGAUUUUUGUGAUUAUUGAUGCUAUGUUGCAAUACUUGGUAAACCAUAAAAAUAGAGACGUCACAGAAUACAUGUAAAAGUUUCGGGUGAUUACAUCACUUAUUAGUGGAGUAUGACAUAACCUAUUUAAAUUUCCCCUUCAAUGCUAUACUUAGAUUUGUUUAUCUGGCAGUAUUUUCCCUUCAAUGUCCAUACUCCUGAUUUACAUUUUUUUUCUUCUUCAAUUACUUUGCCGCCGAAGGUCUCCAGUGAAAUAUCAAAAUCUCUUGCUUUUCCUGUGACAAAAUUUGCUUUGUAAAAACAACCAGCAUUAGCUAUUUAGCUCUCUCUAAUUUAUUUCACGCUCAAACAAAAAAAAAAAAAAAAAAACUCACUCUAAGCUUCUUAUGCUCAUCCCCUUUAAACUUUUUAUGCAGGUUCAACAUAGUUGGUCAGGUAUUCUUACAAUCAAACCUUUUUCGGUAUCUUCUUGAAAGCCACACUUGUCGCUGACUUAUUGGGUAUUUGCAAGUUCAUUCAGGGCUCUGAUCAUUUGACGACUUUUACAUUUGCAGUGGGCUGUUACAACAACUGUAGAUUUCUCAUUAGCACAGCUUAUUCAAGUUAUCAUUCUGCUUAGUACUGGUGGAAACAAUGGUGGUGGAUAUUUAGCUUCAAAAUAUGUAGUUAUAUGCUUCCACGGAGGAAUUCUAUUUUUACAUGCCUUAAUAUAUAUAGUCUUCCCAUCACUUGGUUAUCCUUUUUUCGGACAGCUUGCUGCAUUAUGGAAUGUUGUAGGUAUAUAAUUUUUCCGUUUCUUUAUAUGACCUUUUAUUUCAGGAUGCACUGAAUGAAGCUUCCACUUUAACCUGCACCUUUGUUGGUGUUGCUAGGCACUUUUGUGCUUAUGAUAUUGAUCCCUACUGUCGCUACUGAAAGGGCCAGUGCCAAGUUUGUUUUCACUCACUUCAAUACGGAUAAUGGGGAUGGAAUCCACAGUAAACCUUACAUAUUUCUUCUUGGCCUCUUUAUGAGCCAAUAUACACUUACAGAGUUACAGGGUAUGAUGCAUCUGCUCAUAUGGUACGGUAUGAUUCAUUUUGGUUUUAUCAAAUAAUUUGGACUGAAGCUGGAUACAUAUCUACGUCAUUUUUAACUAUCAAUGCAAACAUGCAGUUUUCCAUUUUGUCAAGCCUUCAACCUUUGUUGUGGUUGUCACAGUAAUGCCUUGGUUUUGUUAUUGUCUUUUGCAUGCAUUAAGUACGUUAAUUGCACUGAUGAUGUUGCCCAGUAUGUUUAAUGGCGUUUGUUUAACUGACUAUUAUCUUUGACAUGUCCAACCUAUACAUAUUCAAGCAACCUUAAAGACAUUACUGCAUCUUCCUAAGUGCUUUUGUAACCUGUUCAGUGAAUGUUAUGUUCAAGCACAAACUAUAUGAAUGAAGGUGUUUAGACCAUCCUGAGUUCAGCAUCUUUGAUCUCCUUUAAUUUCUUGUCUCCACAACUUUUGGAAACCAAUAGUUUUUUAGCAAUAAGAUGUUUUCUAUUUUAUUUUAUUUUUUGUUUAAAUUCUUCUAUCAGACAGAAGAAACAAAAAAUGCAGAUACAAAUGGGCCAAAAGGAAUUAUAAUAAGUGCAAUUGGCAUAUCUAUCAUUGUUGGAUGGGUUACGUUCUUGGUAUCACAUUUGCAGUAACUAACAUACCACAGCUUCUGAGCACGGACAAUCAUGCUGGUGGUUAUGCCAUUGCAGAGGUACGCGCGUGUUUUAUCAAGCCUUCAAGAGUAGAUAUGGUAAUGGAGUUGGGGGCAUUAUUUGUUUGGGCGUAGUUGCUCUCGCCAUAUUUUUCUGUGGCAUGAGUUCAGUCACAAGCAACUCUAGGUGAUCAUCUCUCCACCGAUAGCUUCCUACAUAAUUCAUUCUUAUGGUAAUUUCAACUUCCUUCGUUCUUUAUCAGCUACUUAUGUUUCCUUUUAUUUACUUUGCAGGAUGGCAUAUGCGUUCUCAAGAGAUGGAGUCAUGGAGCUAUGCCCUUUUCAUCAUACUGGCACAAAGUUAACAAGCAUGAGGUCCCACUAAAUGUUGUCUGGUUCUCUGUUUUUAUAUCCUUUUGCAUGGCAUUAACGGUUAGUAAAUCUUGGUUUUUCAUUUUAUGUAUGUCACAAUGACAAUAUUAUAUGGAUUUCCUAUCUGUACGUGUAGUAUGAAGUCUUACUUGCCUAGAACUUAGCAGAGUGGCGCAAUAUUGCUGAGUUAGUCUAAAGUUCAUUAAGUAUGAAUCAUUCGAUGUUGAUGGAGUUAUUCCUCAUUUUGUGUAUAUAAUGCAGUCUCUCUGGAGUCUUGUGGCUUUCCAAGCUAUGGUGUCAAUAGCAACUAUAAUUGGGCUUUACAUUGCUUAUGCCUUACCGAUAUUCUUCCGUGUGACACUGGCCCGCAAGUCCUUCGUUCCAGGACCUUUCAACUUGGGACGCUAUGGGGUAUAUUGGUGGGUUGGAUUUCAGUUCUUUGGGUGGCAACCAUCACAGUUUUAUUUUCUCUUCCUGUGGCUUAUCCCAUCAAGACGGACACUCUGAACUACACUCCUGUUGCAGUCGGUGGCCUUCUCAUCAUUACUGUUUCAUGGUGGAUUGUUAGUGCGCGACAUUGGUUUAAAGGUCCUAUAACUAACCUAGAUAGUUAAAUAAACAUGUAAUAUUGAUUGUCCAUUUACUAUUAGUUGGAACUCCUUUUGUUCUCAGUUGGGUCUAUUUCCAUAUCUCAUUUUGUACAUCUUAACCCAGUAAAGAGCCAUCAGAGACUACAGUCCACCAACUGUUACUUUCCGCAAAAAAAUGUACAGUUUUGGGGUGUCUGUGUUUCUGAUCAUGGAUUCAAAGUAAUUGUAUGAUAAGGAAUACAAUACUAAAAGAGACAAUUGAAACCUCAAUUUACAACAUAAACUUUGUUUCAAAAUGUUCAUACAUUCUUUCAAAUUUAGGUGUCUGCGCCAUUUGCAGUUCCUAAUGUAUCCGAUGCAACAGUAUGAUUAUCACGAAAUGAGCCCUUUUGCGAUUUUAAGUGAGAAAUAGAAUAACCGCAGUUUUGUGUCAAGUAUAUUCUCAUUGACCUUCACCAUCCCUCAUUGCACUUGAUACCUCAUCUCAGAAACCCUCACUAAUCUUAAGUUAGUAAGACUAAGACAUCAUUAUCUGCAAAGUGCAAAAAUCAAAACAAAUAAAAUGGUCUUAAGGAAAUAAUGACAAAGUCACAAUAUGUAAGAAUAAAACUAGAAAUUGAUCACCAAUAUGAUAAAUUAGUACCAACACUAGAAUAGUUUAAUCAUGAUUACUGACACACUCACAAGUCACAACAAGUUCUAUCUAUGCUUUUACUUACGAUGAAAUUUUUAAGAUUUACACCUCGACUGAAUAUCAAUGUGGAUAUGAGCCAAUUCCUUCCAACCAUGUCUUAUUCCAACCUGCUUUCGCCCACGUUGAUCACAAAUUACUAGUUAGUAUUGAAAACCAACAAAAAUGCAACAAUUGGAUUCUAGAUGUUUUCAGUUCCUUGCAUCUUAUUAGGCACAUGCCGAUAACUCUUAGUAACUAGUACGCGGGCGGAGGGAGCGGUUAUGGGUGCACCAAAGGCCCCAGUUUAAAAGCUAUUAAUAUUGGUAAUAGCCACUACAGUGAGAGGAGGAGGGGGAAUAUGUGCUAGCAUCAAAGUAGAAAUGAAGGUAGUCGUACCCUGGUACCACAGUAGGUGUACAGUGUACUCUCUUACUAAGCUCGUAACUGUCCAUGCUUGAUAUAUUCGUUUUAUGUAACUAUCCAUGAAUAAAAUCUUGACUUGGUUUCUAUUUCUCCUCUUUCUUUCUUUUGAUUGUGUUGGUCAGUAGAUCUAAAAUCUGUUUUUUUUGUUUCUCACUUUGUUUUGCAGUAAAUUGAUUGAUCGACUAUCGGUAUUCUUGAAUCUUGAUGUCGUGAUUUAUAUAUUCUUGAAUACAAGAGAAAAAGUUUGGGUGAAUUUCAUUAUGAAUUAAAUUUACUAAUUGUUUCAACAAUGUACUAGUAAUAACUUUAACACUUUAAACAGACUCAAGAAACUCUUUUUGAGAUUUUUUUCCCCUAUAUAUUUACUGCUUAAAUUGAUUAUUAUUGUUUUAGUAACAUUUUUUUUUUUUUGGCAAAUAAGCUAUGGUUAGGCAGACCCUCACCUGUAUUCAAAAACCAAAAGAAUUACAAUCUCAUAUACAUUUUUCCAUAUGCAUCAUUAUCUACAAAAGAUUGUAACCUAAAGUCUAACAGAGGAGUAAAAAAACAGCAGUUAGGAAUCAAAUUAUCAUCUAGAGCUGCCAAGUAGUCCGCGGCUGCAUUACAUUCUCUGAAAAUGUGCUCAACUUUUGAGUCUUCCAUCAGUUCCAACAUAGCCUUAGUCUCAGCAACUAUUUCGAUGCAAUCCCAUGGAACAGUCUCCUUACCAUUGAUAAUGUUAACGGCAAGUAACGAAUCAGAGCAUAAGAUGACUUUCUUUGUACCCAAAUUUCCACAUCCAAGCAAACCAGCAUAGAUCCCAUUAAGUUCUUGGCACAACACACUUUUUUGGUUCGAAGACCCAGCAUAAGCUAAACAUACUCUCCCAAGAUGGUCUCUGAUUACUCCACCAUACCCAGCUCUUGUGUCAUUGAGAGAACCAUCAGGAUUUACCAUAUGAUAUCCUGCUCCAGGUGGUUUCCAUUGGCACAUAGUAACCUUUACAGGUUUAUAAUUCAUAUUCAGUCCAAUGUUCUCUAGCAAGACUCUAUUACUUAUAACAUCUUUAGGCUCUUUGCUCUUCACUUGGAGAUACUCCCUCACCUCUUUGAAGCAGCUGGCUGCCAGAGCUUCCUUAGUUGUACUUACAUUCCUGAAUCAGCGAGCAUUUCUCUCCGCCCACAACCAAUAAAUUGUGUAGGGGUACUAUAUACUCCAACCAAUAAAAACAAGCCACGUGGCACGGUCAUUAAUCUAUCAGGUCGCUCUGUACUCGACCUAUUCAGAACUCGACCAGAGCAGCUCGACUACAGGAUCAACAACGAUCUAAUUACGUGCACAUGCCCUAAUUCAACGCACAGAUAAUAUCUCCAGCUGUCAUACAUUCAUUACAACCGUUACCCAAUCAUUGGAGAAUAUUGCAUCACCAUAAAUAUGUCGGAGAAUGUGCAAGAUCCCAAGAUCUUCGCCUCAUCACCUUCUAUAAAACAGAACUACGAUGGCUUGAUCUCUAGGUUCAAUCCCCACGAACUAGAGUACGUAGGCAAUCUCGAUCUCAACGAGGUGCAGCCACCCCCGAUCUAAAACUCCCCCUUUGGUCAAGUCCGUAAGCGACCUGAUCUAGUAGAUGCAUUAAUCUAGAAAUAGGUUAAUACAUUUGGCGCCGACUGAAAGGAAUUCGAUUAUAUCGAAAACCCAAACCCUCCCACCCAACUCAAAGUCAUCUACUCAAAUGGCUACCCAAGAACUAACUAGCCAAGAUCUGCGAGACCAAAUCAAUCAUCUUCAGGAAGAAAAUGCACAAUUGAAGGCUGCAUAAACUACCGCGCCAACACCAGUUGCGCAAUUAGCAAACGGCGGACAUGGGGUCAUUGAUGUUGAAGAUAGCAACCAAAAAUACGAAGAACUAAGCCAACAGCUCGCAGAGUUCAAAGCCUACUAGGCCGUCAUAUAGCUUCACAAAGGCCACACAGCUGAACAACUUGCUGUCCAGUCCCUUCAGCAAUUUCAAGAAUCUCCUUUCACAAGGAGAUCCUUGACCAUGAAUUGCCUAACAAGCUCAACGCCCCCAAAUUCGACUAGUAUGCAGGAGUUGGAGACCCAACUGAUCACAUCAAAGGAUUUCGUAAGUCCCUACCUCUCAUCAAAGAAGAUCACCUUCUAUGUUUGCUGUUCCAGUCUAGCCUCACCGAACCUGCUUUCGAUUGGUUUCACCGUCUGAAGCCAGGAUCCAUCAACUCGUUUAUGGAUCUAGAAAAACAGUUCGUUAUCUUCUAUAUCUAUAACAAGAAACGUCCAGUCACAAUCGACGCUAUAUUCAAAGUCAAGCAACGAGAUGGCGAAUCACUGAGCAAUUUCUUUGCUCGAUUCAAAUUUGAACUACACUCCAUCCAGGAUUUUGCAAAGGAACAUGAAGCCUUCGCAACAAUUGCAUUCUCUCACGGUCUGAUCCAAGGAUCCGACCUGCACUAAGUUAGAUCGUUAUAUCAAGCUCGAAGAAGCCCUAAUUGGUAGGGAAAAGACUCAUGUCAUCUCCAACGUGGAAGGUGGCUCCACUAAGCGACCUCGAUCUGACAACAAGAGGUUCAAAGCAAAGUCGUUGCCCACUGAGCAACGAGAGUAUCACAGAUUCACUCGGCCAGCAGGUUAUAUCUAUGAACGAAUCAGGCACAACCAUUGGUGCAAGAUUCCGAGCUUCACACAACUGGAGGACACAUCUGGUCGACCAUACUGCAAGGUCCACAAGGUUAGGUGUCAUCAAAUUGAUGACUGUCGCAUAUUGAAGCAUGCUCUUCAGACUUGGGCCGAUGAAAAAAGGCUCAACAAUUGGAUCCUUGGUAGACAAGAGGAUUCUAAUGGCAAACGAGCCAAGAAAGGGUCCAACACGCCUCCACAUCCAGCAAGGCGAUCUCAUAGUAAGGCCAGAACGGCCUCGACAAGUCCAGUCCGCAGCAGAGGGCGUAGCCUCUCAGAAUGAUUAGGCCCACCCGACCAACUCAAUAAAAAGGUCGCCAACAAGAUAGAUAGUGACAGUGAAUUCGAAAGUCAUGUAGUGUACAUGAUUUAUGAAUCCAACUCCACCCCAGUAUCAAGAGAGAAGAAAAGACGAGUAGAACAUCUUCACCACGUCUACUCGAUCACCGGCCGAGCAGCUCGGUUCAACAUCCCAGCUCGCCAAAACACAGACAUUACCUUCACGGAGGACGACCUCAACAAGGUCGUUACCCCUCACAACGACGCCCUGGUCGUCGAAUUGCGAAUAGCUCAUUACAUCAUCAAGAGGGUACUCAUCGACCCUGGUGCAUUCUGCAACAUACUCAUGUACAGAACCUUCAAAGACAUGAGGCUACCUGACUCAGUCCUCAUCCCUGAUUUCACACCCAUCCUAGGCUUCAACAGUUCAAGAGAAGAUCCUAAGGGUGAAAUACUGUUGCCCGUCACUGUGGGCCGAAAAGAAGAAAAGGUCGUUGUGACCGCCAAGUUCAGCAUCCUCAACAUCGCAAGUAAGUAUAAUGCGAUCCUUGGCCGAAAAUGGAUCCAUGCCAUGAGAGGUGUCCCAUCCACAUAUCAUCAAGUUUUCCGCUAUCCCGGACCUCAUGGGAUAAUGGAACUUCGUGGCAACCAGAAUGCUGCACAAGAAUGUCAUGGAAUUCUUGAAGCUGCGGCGCCUGAAAAGCCAUUUACCUCUGGAACCAAGGAUGCUGACACUAAAGGAAAGAGCCCGCUCUCAUCAAAAGCUCGAGAGGGCGAUAACAAAUCGAAGAGCCCGUCGAAAGGAAAGUCUGAAGUCACAAAAUAGCAACUACAGAAGGAGCAAACGAGCUCCCCCCAGCUUAAUCUCGGAAGCACUGAUCCAGGAGUACGAGUGAACUUAGGGUCAGAAGACGAGCCGAGAUAUGUUUAUAUGGGUUCAGAGUUAGAGGGAGAUAAGUACAACGACUUUGUAAACUUUCUUUCUUCUGAUAAAGAUGUUUUUGCUUGGUCGUAUAUCGAUAUGCCUGGAAUUGACCCAUCAAUUGCAUGUUAUAAACUGCGCGUCAAUCCAAAUUAUCGACCUGUUAAGCAAAAACCAAGGAGGCUCGCUCCUAAGUUUUACCAAGCAGUAAAUGAAGAAAUCAACAGACUCAAACAGGUCGGGUUCAUCAAGGAAGUUGACACGCCAGAUUGGCUAGCCAACAUUGUGCCAGUCUUAAAGAAAAACGGGAAAACAAGAGUUUGCAUUGACUUCACAAGCUUGAACAAAGUUUGUCCUAAAGAUUCAUUCCCACUGCCACGAAUCGAUAGGUUAGUCGAUCAGACAUGUGGUUUCGAGCUAUUGUCAUUCAUGGACGCAUACUCAAGCUACAACCAGAUCCCAAUGUACGAGCCCGACCAAGAGAAGACCUCUUUCACAACAGAGCAAGGCAUUUUUUGCUACAAGGUUAUGCCAUUUGGCUUAAGGAAUGCAGGAUCGACCUACCAACGACUUGUCACUAGAAUGUUCGACGACCUAUUAGGUCGAACUAUGGAGGUCUACAUCGACGAUAUACUAGUAAAGAGCAUUCAGGAACAAGAUCAUUUGUCAAAUCUCGAUCAGGCAUUUCAAAGGUUAAGACAAUACAGGAUGCGACUUAACCCAGAAAAGUGUUUGUUUGGAGUUGCAUCAGGAAAGUUUUUAGGCUACCUUGUUACAAGACGAGGUAUUGAAGCAAAUCCCGACCAGAUCAGAGCCCUGAUCGAUAUGCCCAGCCCAAAGACAAAAAAACAGAUCCAAAAACUCAACGGCAUGGUAUCAGCUCUUAAUAGAUUUAUUUCUAGAGCAUCUAAUAAGUGUCGACCAAUGCUUCAUAUUCUCAGAAAGGGGGCUGCAUAUCAAUGGACAGAAAAAUGCGAGAACGCUUUCACCGAACUAAAGACAUAUUUAUCCACUCCACCAGUCCUCACCAAGCCUAAGGAUGGAGAUGUCCUCGGUGUCUACCUCGCUACCUCAGAUUUUGCGAUCAGCGCAGUGCUUUUCAAGGAAGAAAAUCAGGUCGAACGCCCAAUCUACUUCACAAGCAAAGUAUUAUAGCAGGCCGAAAUAAGGUACACACCUCUAGAGAAAUUAGCAUUAGCUCUUCUUUAUGCUGCAUGCAAAUUUUGACCUUAUUUUCAAGCCCACACUGUUAAAGUAAUCACCGACCAGCCACUACGCCAUGUAUUAGAAAAGAAAAACAAAACAGGUCGUAUGGCUAGAUGGGCAGCAGAGCUGGGUGAUUACACAUUCGAGUUCGUCUCUCCUCAGGCCAUCAAAGGCCAGGUCGUCGCAGAUUUCUUAGCAGAUUACCCCGCAGAAGAUUUCAAUUGGGAACCAGAACCAGAAAUAAGGCAAAUCCAAGUCAAUCCUCCUGACACAUGGCAACUAUACAUUGAUAUGUGGAUGAAUGUUGAAACUUUUGUAGAUUAUAUCUCGUAGAAUCCUUACCGAAGGUGUUGAACAUUUUCUGUUUUCACUUAUAAUUGGUUCGAUGAAUAGAUAAUUUCAUAGACCAGAUUCUAAUCCCUUUGUCAUCUCUCAGUGAAACUUAUUGAGUUGAAUGAUGGUCACGAAAAGGUCAUCUAACAGUUUAUCAUUACUGUUUUAGUCAAUAUGGAACAACAUGUAUGAAAUUAUACGAAGAAUGCUGAAAUUACUUCAUAUGUUCUUUGUGAUUGAUAAGAAUGUGACAUGGUAAAUUAUAACGAAAAAAAAGAAGACCAACUUUCCAACAAUUUUACAAUAAUUAUAGAAAGCAUAUGUUUUUUUUCUUCUUUUAAUAACAAUAUAAAUUUAUCAUUCCAAACACCAAAAUAUACAAACCUGAUCAGCAUGUACACUAUGGUACAUCGCCAGGUAUCAUAAAUCAGAGGACAAACCCUUGGAACCAAGGACAGACUAUGACAGAAAACACAAACACUUUCAACUCAGCCUGUCUAGCAACACCAUUCUUGCAUCAUUCAGACCCUGCAACAAUUAGCUACCAUUCUUCCACUAUAACAGUAUCCCAUCCAUUCAACAAAUCCCCAAACUUUAUAUCUUGUCUAAGAUCCAAGCUUGAUUUAUCAAUGUUUAACCACGCCCAGAGACUAGCUUUUAUCAUCACCACUAGUUUAGGCAACUCGAAUUUGAGGUCACGGGAGAUAAUACCAUUUUCGGUAUGUCAAAUACACCAAAACACCGCGUAAGGUAAUAUUGCCAUAUCCUCUCACUAACUCCCCUGCUCUGAAGCUCGACCACCCCAUCAAUGACUGUUCAUUGGUCUCAAAGAAGUAAAAUAUCAACAUGGUGUGAAUGCACACCCUAGUGAAAACCUACUAGAGUUCUCUAUGCACUGUAUAUGAGAUGAACAAAUGUAUAUUGUUUAGUGGUCUCCCACAGCUCACACCUGUUUGUAAUAUACAUACCCUUAUUCCAACAGCUUGUCUAUUAUAAGUUUUUAUUUAUCCCAAAAAAGGCUCCACAUAAAGAAUUUGACGUUUUAGGGAUUUUCGGCUCCCACACCAAUUUGUGGGUGUACUCAAAAGGGGGUAGAGAUCUCGUAUGACUUCGGUUUGCCAAUUAUAGAAAGCAUAUGUUUUGAUCUUUUAUAUUCUUGAGACAUCAGUUCAUUUGUUUUUUGUUUUUUUACUGAUAAGGAAUACUGUAUAUUUGUUGGAUGGGAUAAAGGUUAGACUGGAUAUUCCCAGUGACUAAAAGGGAACAAUAUUAACAUUAGCAAGUGGUAUGGUGUUCGACGCUUCGGGAUGAGCAAGGAUGAAAUCUCGAGGUGUUACAGUAUCAAGGACGACGACGGAACUCCUAUGGCGGGUAGGGGGUACGCUGGAAAGGCGCCUAGCCCAGAGCGGUAUCGGUUGCCCCAGGUGCUUGGCUCACUCGACAGGGAACGUUGAAGAUUUUGGGACUGUACUGAGUGUACUGCAGAACCGGGGAUGACUCUAUUCUAAGGUGGUGAGAUUGUAAUACCCAUGAGUUGGGGUUAGUCCCACAUUGCCAAAGAAGUUCGUAGCAGUGGCGUAGCCAAGAUUUUAAGUGAGGGUGCGCACUCAAUUUUCCAAUGCAAAAAAAGGGGGGGAAAAUCUAGCAAACCAUGUUCAUAAUAUAUGAAUGAUUUACUAAAUAAUUCAAUCAGACAUUUAAAUUAUCAUUAUCUUCAACAAUUUUUUUGUUUUAAAUAUGAGAUUUUUGGACAUACCCCCCAUUUGAAAGUCGAAAUUUGAGAUACUCCAUGUGAAAAAAANNNNNNNNNNNNNNNNNNNNNNNNNNNNNNNNNNNNNNNNNNNNNNNNNNNNNNNNNNNNNNNNNNNNNNNNNNNNNNNNNNNNNNNNNNNNNNNNNNNNUGGGGUAUCUCAAAUUUCGACUUUCAAAUGGGGGGUAUGUCGGAAUGUUUUGAAAUAGGUUAUUCCUCACUGACAUCAUUAAUAUCUUUCCCUUCAUGACUACGUUUUGAAGUAGUUUGCACUUUACUACUUACAUCCCGCUUACAAUUAUAAAUUUGUACACAAAUUAGAAGUAAACAAAUAGUUAUCUUUGAAUAAAGCACUAUACAUACAUAAAUACAUAAUGCAAUCAAAUAAUCAAUCCAAGUCACAAAAAACUCAAUUCAGAAUUCAACUGUUUCUUUAAAUGAAAGUGUUACAAUGAAUUAACUACAAGAAAAGGGAAUUUUAUAAAAAAUUACUCAAUUAUAAAACCCUUAAUCUCUAAUUAAACAAAAUAAACUUAAUUAUAACAGUAUAAAACUAAAAUAUUAAAAAAUUGUGGAUAUAAUACUUACAAAGUCAAGUUAAUAGAAAUCGGCUGACAUGCAUUUGGAUUUUGGUGACAAAGUGUUUUUUUUUAGAAGCGGAGAAGUAAAACGUGGAGGUGAGAGAGAGAAAGAGGGAGAGAGAUAACAGAAACCGAGUAGUUUGUACGAGAUUUGUUUUGUUUUUGGUAAAAUGAUCAAAAAAUACAACGUACUUUCACUUUUUUUUCACUUUAUACAAUGAACUAAAAAUCACGCCAAAACAUCAAUGUACUUUGAAAAAAAUUUCACGUUAUACAAUCUGUCUAAAACUAGCUAACGGACUGCAGACGUGGCUAAUAAUUAUCUACGUGUAUUUUUUCUUUUAAAAUAAAGUUAAAAAACAUUUCCAACACAUCGAAAAUGAGGCACAUGUUUCUUCAUGUGAUUGACUCCUUCCCUGUUUGAACAAUUCAAUUCAACAAAUCUGUAAAUCCCUAAUUCAAAUCCCCAAUUCUUCUCACUUUUAAUUCUUCAUCAUCUUUAAAUCCCUAAUUCAAAUCCCUUUCAAAAAAUUUCAAGAAAUCUCUUGAAACAGACAAAACUAUGAAAUAGUUAAGAGAACUAGAAAAAGAAACUAACCUUUGAAGAAAUAGUGUGCUGAAGAAGAGAAAAUAUAAAAGAAAGCUCAAAAUGUAGAACUCCAUUAUUGCCUUGUUGCAGGAAAUCUUUUUUGUCAGAAUCCAUGAAAUUGAGUGGAAUUCAUGUAGUUGGCAGAGAAAGUGGGUUUGUGGUGAAAAGGUGUCUGAAAAUGCGAAAGUGGGUGCUAACAAAUAGAAUCAUGAAUCAGUUAAGGACAGAAAAAAGAUCAUACGAACAUAGAACCAGUGAACCCUUCUAUGGUCCUGCCUUCUUCUUGCCCACUAACUUCUUGCCUUAAUGUAAUAUAAGUGGUUGCCAUUCUCUCAAGGAAGAUUAUCAGAUGAUCAAAUUUUUCUAAUUUUACAUGGUAUGUUUCAUAACUUGGGUAGUAUGUAGCAACCAUUAGAUUCCCUUCCAAUUUUCAACAGAAGUAUGAAAAUCCAUUUGCUGAACCAACAAUCAGUACUAAGGUAAAAAAUGGUUCCAAGAUGCAAACCAACAAUCUCUAACAUCUUGGCGCGAACUUUGGGCGGGAUUAAUGGACGGUUUAGAUGUAAACAUGUGUCGACAUGAUCUGAUGACACGUUCUAAAGUAGAUGGGCUGAUUUUAGUUUUACAACUCAGCGUUAUAUUUUAAAAGAAAAAACACACGUAGAUAAUUUUUAGCCACGUCUGCAGUCCGUUAGCUAGUUUUAGACAGAUUGUAUAACGUGAAAUUUUUUUCAAAGUACAUUGAUGUUUUGGCGUGAUUUUUAGUACAUUGUAUAAAGUGAAAAAAAAGUGAAAGUACGUUGUAUUUUUUGAUCCUUUUACCUUUGUUUUUAAUUAAACUUUCAAAUUAAGAGUUUUGUUAUUUAAGGGAACUGAAAAAGUUAAAAAUAAUAUACCAAAUCAAAUACUCUACGUAUAGAAAAAAAAAUUCAAAAUUCUUCCAAAUUCCAGGGUAGCCACGUGCGUACCCUUACACUCCUGGCUCCGCCCCUGGUUCGUAGUAUAUAGAGUUUAACCAUACUCAAACUAUGUCAAGGCUUAUUGGGGAUCGAAAGCCAGAUGAGUUGACCCUUAUCCAAAACCCCUCUAUUGUUGGAUAUCUGCAGUGACUAAAGAAGGAUAAUAUUGAGGUAUGGUGCUCGGUGCUUCGGGAUGAACGAAGACGAAAUCCCGGGGUGUUAUAGUGCAUCAGAUACUAGCGUCGAAUUCCUCAUCCAACGAACCCCACUACUUCUCAGGAAGCUUUCCUUUAUCGACAAAUACAAUAUGCAAAAGAUGUUGGUGAUCACACUCUGAGUUUUGUAAGAUCACAAGGUAUCGUGGACUGUACAGGUUCUAUACAUGGAGCGUUCCUUAGUUACACAAAAUGUACUUGAUUAUGAUAUAUUAGACGAGGUAUGUUUUAUAUUUAUAAUUGCAUUUAAAAUUUUAUGUUUUUAAUUAUAACUUGUUGUAUUUUCUUGUAUAUGCAAGAUAUGUACAGAUGCUGUAAUGCUUGGUCAAGGGAUGCGCCAAGAUGCAUUUGAAGCUUCUGGAAAGUAUUGUGGUUGGUUGCAAGAUGAAAGGACUGAAGAACAAUACCAUACUAGUUAUAAGACCCGUGCGAUGCACGGAUGUUAUUAAAUAAUGUAACUUACGUCAUUAGGUGUAGUUUAUUGAAAAUAUUUUGUUAAUGACUUAAUGUAUGUCAUUGGCUUUAUGAUUUUAUUAUAGCACCAAUUUUAUUUUAUUUUUUCGUAAAUAUGGUUGAUUACAAAUUUUAAAAUGGUUUAUCAUUAAUUUUUAUAUAUAAUAUCUAGCAAUUAUUGAAUUUUUUUAUUAUAUUUUUACUUCAAUGUGACAAUAAACAAUGGUAUGAUUAAUCCUAUGAAUAUUCAAACCAUGAAUUAGACUAAUCAUAUGAUUUGAUUCAUUUUUUGUUUGGUAUUUAGGCUUAAGUUUUGAAUAUAAAAUAAAUUUAGCAAGAAAUAAAUAUAGUAACUUGCAGUAGUAAAGUAACCUUUCACAACUAAUGCACCCAAAAAAUUUAUUGAAAAGAUGAAGUUGAAGCAUAGGAUAAAAUAUUGGAUUACAAACUAUACAGUGCUUAUUGAAGCUUAUUAUAUAUAUAUAUAUAUAUAUAUAUAUAUAUAUAUAUAUAUAUAUAUAUAUAUAUAUAUAUAGUAAGUAACAUAGUUUUUAUUAUUAUUAUUAUUGGUAACCGAGGUUAAGGAAAAACUUUUAAUCAAACAAUCAGUUGCUGACGUGUUUCGAACCCACAACAUCAUAUCUCGAUUUUGUGGGAGGCUACCUUUGAGCCACAUGCAAAUCGACAAAUUUAUACUAAGAAUAUAUUUGCUAUAAUAAAUAUUUUAUUUAAACAAACUAUACUUAGUUUAAAGAGGCAUGUAGUAAGCUACAAUGAAAUUUUAAAGAGGUAUCUAGUAAGCUACAAUGAAAGCCCACCUGCUGGCUAAUCAAAAAAAUUUGCUGGACUUCGAUUUUUAGUUUUAGUUAAAAAAAAAAUGGUGGGACCUAAAUAUAAUUAUAUCUUCUGUUUCUCCCAGUCCCUACUUUCAUGACAAAAUUAGGAAAAAAAAUGUCAAAAUUUAUAUUUAGGUGUACCCACAUACCGUUUUGUAACCCCUAAAUAAUGGCUUUUGCAAAAUAAUAAUAAUAAUAAAAGGGUUUGCAGCGCAGUAUGUAGCGCACUUGUUCUCUAACUUUUUAUAAUUCUUGGAUUUUUUAUUAAAAAAAAUUUGCAUUGAAAUAAGAAAAAAACCAUUGUCAAGUUAUUGGGUUGCGCUUUUGUUAUGUCUAGAAUAUACAUGAUUUCGAAAAACACUAUUGAAUUUAUAUCCUGGGCUAACUGUUGGUCGAAGGCCAGCUUUUCAAAUACUCAUGUUUGAGUAUAAUUGAUAAAUAAGAUUAAAGUAAUCCCGAAAAUCAUGGUAUAAUUAGGCAACAUAACUAUGUUAUAUGGUUAUAAAGCCAAUAUAAUUUUAUUUCUCACUUGUACUCAAAGAAAAAUGAAAAGGCACAAUAUUUUACUAUUUCGGGCAUAUAUUCACAUAGUCUAUUACUCUAUUGUAAUGAAGGUUGUGUGCGCUUUUUUCCAACCACUAUUUUGGAGAAGCAAGAGAUGAUAGAUUAAAUUUGAUGUAUGAGGAACGUCAGUGGAAGGAAGAUGGUAAAGUACGAAAUUAUAAUUUUUAUAUUUUUAAAUUUUAUUGCUAGUAAGUAUAUAUAUAUAUAUAUAUAUAUAUAUAACCAUAUUUCCAUUAAAUUCAUUGGGUAACUAUUAAUAUAUUUGUGCAAAAAGACAGAUAUGGCCAUAGUGCUAUUAAAUGUAGCCAUCUAGCUAUUUAAGCCAUAUUAGAUUUAAAUUUACAAUAAUAACCCUUUCAAUUUUAAUUUUUGUUAAAUUCUCUUCAAUUGGAGCACCAAAUUUUCUUUAAUUUGGAAAGAGAAAUUUUCCUUAAGGGGUAAGUCCAACUUUAAUAGAGAGUAUAGAUAAGUAAAGCCAGGGUCAUAACAAGUGUUUUUCUCUGUAUUUUGUGACAAGAUCAUCAACCUAUCAAACUAUUCAAGAAGGAGAUUGAAGAAACGCGCAAUGAUCAUGCAUUGAAGGCAAAAGUGUGCGAUCCCCACAGUACUGUGUUUAUGGCCUUAUGGGUGUACUCAUACUAGGGGUCUGGUUGUAGCACAGACCCAAUAAAGUAGAGGCUAAGGUCUGCUGCAAGAGUUCAGGAACGUGCUAUCGAGUUUGCGCUCGUUCAACCCGCAUCUCCCUGCAAAUUGUCUGAAAAUUUGUUGUUGAAUAACCAUUUCAAGGAAUACCUGCCCUAGUAAUUAGUAAUUACCCAGUCCUGCUAGAUAUAAAUACUCUCCGAAACUCUAGUAAUUAAAAUGAACUCAUUAUUUCUAUUUUCCUUCUUUUACUUGUGUUUGAUUGUUAUUUUUUUUUUUAUUGGCAAGCUUGUAUAAGAUCAGCAACUCAAAGGUGCAGUCUGGAAUCCAAUCAUCCAACCCCAGACCUCUGGUAUCAUCUCCCAGAGGUAUUACCAACUGACAGCUGGCAUCUGCACUUUGAUUGCCCAGGGUUGUGCAAUUCCUCGGUGCUAUAGCAUUAUAGUAACUCUCCAGACCUCCUCUGGUAAAGCGAACUCAUUAUUUUUAUUUAGCUUCUUUCACAUAUAUUAUUUGUUAUAAACAACAGAUUCCACAUAUUCUUAUGCAAUAUUUUUUGGGUGCUAGGUGGUUGUGAAGAACUAAGAAGUUGCGAAAACAAUGCAUGUACUGAAAUCUGAUCAAUUCUGCACCAAGGCUUCCAGUAUUGCACUUGUUACUGCAUAAGCUGUUGAGGAAGCACAUGCACACAGAGGUAUCUAAGUAUACUCACAACAUGAGGGGUUGUCAUCACUGUAUCUCUUCUACUAGUUUGCUAAGACAUUAUCUAAUAAAGAGUAUUUUGUGUUUAUUAUUCCUCUUCUUCUUUAUUACUAGCUUAACCUGGGCCAUUUUCAAAGUAGUAAAGAUGAUGCAGUUGAUUACCAAAAAAAAUAAAUGAUAUAGUUGAUUUAUCCUGAUCAAGCAGCAGGGCACUUUCACAGCAGACAACAUUCAUAAUUUGAUGGUAUUGUUAGUUAGAUAUAUAGAUCUUAUAAAUAAUGAAAUUAUCUAUCCAACUUACAACUAAAAAAAAAAUCAUGAUAUUGGAAGCUUCUAUGAUGUCUUUAUUCUUUCUUGUCUAUUUCUUCUUAUUUAAAAUAAUAAUAAAUGAGAAAAACAUUUACACAUUUUUUAUUUGUAUAACUAAUUUAAUUAGAAUAAAUCAUGUCGCAAACUAAACAUUUUUUAUAUUAAUAUAUUAUGAUAAUCCUGCAUAAUUGAGCUAAGUCACAUAUGCACCUACAAGUGCACAACAAAGUCAAAAGUAUAGACAAAUUCCUCUAGCCUCUAGUUUUCUUUCUUAGCUAUAAGUAAUGAAAUAUCACUAAUAAGUGUCUGACAAAGCUUAAAAGAAUGAGAAAAAAAUGAGCCUCUUUGGAUUCUGCGGAGGAAGCAAGAGUCAUGGUGAGAAAAAGAAGAAGAGGAGCAGAAAGAAGAAAAGCAAAAACAGAGGACAUGUUAAGGAUGGUGGUGGUUCGUCUGCGGUGUUCCCACUGUUUGGGUGUUCCACAAGUGAUGAUGAUGUUGUUGUUACCAAGCACCUCAAGUCAACAACUUUGAUUUCACAUGGCCAAACAAACAUCCCAACUUCUACAUCUCCAUCUAUUACUACUCAAUCACCAAGUCAGUUCGAAACUUUUUUUUUAUGCCAACUUAACCAUGUAUGCUAUCAUAUUUUGCAGCUUUAAUUGUCUAUAUCUUGACUACUCUCCUUCUCUUUUCAUGUUUUUUCAGCAAGAGAUACAGAUACGAAGGACGUUCCUUUCAAUAUGGGUGUAGGGUUUGGCUUGGUUUUUAUCAUUGCUGCUUACAGAAAUGAACUCAGCAAGAUGGCUGAGCUGAAGAAAGAAAUGGAACUACUCAUCAGCAACUUUAAGAUUGUUGUUUUAAGAAAAGAUGAUGUAGCAUCUGAGUCUUCUCAAUCGAACAACAACGAUAGUACUUUUUCUGUGGUAGAAAACACUUCUGAAAUUUCCUUGAUUCAAAAUAAUGCUAUUAUACCAUCUGGUUCUCUUCGGUUAGAGAGGAAAACUGUACUAGAACAUGAUCCGCACUCGGUAACUGAUACACCAAAUGGACAAGAGUAUUCUGCAGUCCAACUGCAUCAGCUGGAGGCAGAACUUGAAAAAGAAUUAGAAAGGUUGCAACUUACCUUGGAUGAAGAGGAAGAGUGGUUGGGGCAUCGAUUGUUCCGACAAAAAGAGGUAGUUUCUAAAUACAGAUAACAUUAGAAGUACUGUAAUUGUCUAAAAUAAAUAGUGAUGUUAUAUUGACCAUAUUAACAUUUUUUGUUCUUUCAAAUAUGUACAGAUAAAUAUUGAGAACACAGAUUCUAUCAAAACUGUGAAGACAUCAGAAGAAAUGAAGGGUUCUCAAUUGUUGGAUUGUGAAAAUUCCUACAUUAUUUGUCCUAGGGAACUUGAGAGAAGGCUUUUUGAGUUAUUAGAAGAGAAACAACAAAAACGAAUAAAUGAACUGGAAUCUGCAUUAAAACAUUCCGAGAAAAAGCUUCUUGAAAAAGAAAUGGAGGUAAAUUGGUGGAGAGACAGUGCUCGUCUUGCUUCUCCCCAAGUUUCAAACACAAAAUGAACCAACAAGUACAUAGGACCGACUUGAUAAAAACAUGUUGUUCAAUGCCAAUAUAAUUAGUAAGAUGUAGUUGAAUAAAAAUUACAUUCUCUAGAUGAGGGCUGAGCACAUGUAUUUUCACGCUUUAGGUACAUUUAUAACAACUUGUCAUUGCGCAUUGAAGCAAAUUGUAGCUCUUCAAAAUGCAGCAAAAACCAUACCUGUAUGGCGUCCCACUAUGCAUUUCGUGAUUAGCAGUCCAUGUGCUAGUUCAAACAUCCCUUCAAAAAAGAAACUGAAUUGUGCUCAUAGACCACAGCAAAAUCCAUGGCCUUUUCUUGUACUCCCGCUGGAUUUCUGAAGCAUCUGUUAAAAAUGUAAUCUGUAAUGUCCAAGUCCAGAAAAGCCCAGUCCAUAGAAGUGUCUAGAAGCAUAAAGAAUUAUCUAGUCCAUAGAAGUGUCCAGAAGCAUAAAGAAUUAUCUAGUCCAUAGAAGUGUCCAGAAGCAUAAAGAAAUAUCUAGCAUGAGAAAAAAUCAGAACUAUGUAGAACAAUUAAAGUCGGUUAUAAUGUCCUAUAAAUAGGGAGGUGAACAUGUUGUUUGAAGAAUCAAUCAAGAAAAGAAGUUCUCUAGUACUAGAAGUCCUCUUUUGUAAUAAAAACAAAGUUUCUUUUAUAAACUUGUCAUUUUGUCAUAUUCUUCUUCUUGACUCUCAUAUACCCACUAACACUUCCAUUGUUUCAACAAAUUGGUAUCAGAGCCAAGUUUUUUCUUUGGUCCCCCCAUACCACUUUCCAUCAUCUACACCUUAAACCACUAUAUUCCCAUUAUUUACACUUAAACCAUGGCCAUAAAUCAAACCCCAUAUAUAUUCAAUUAUACCCAAAAUCUAAUACCCAUAUUUGAUGGUGAUAGUUAUGACUAUUGGAGUUUACAAAUGAAAACUCUAUUCAUGUCUCAAGAUUUAUGGGAAUUAAUUGAAGAUGGCUAUGAUGUACCGGAGUCGACGGCAGAAUUACAAACAUGGGAUCAAAGCAAGCAAAAGGAGUACAAGGAGAAGAAAAAGAGAGAUGCCAAAGCAUUAUUGUUCAUCCAACAAGGGGUAAGCAAAUCAAUUUUUCCAAGAAUUCUUGGCGCUUUAAAUUCUAAGGAUGCAUGGGAAAUUCUUAAGAAAGAAUUUCAAGGAACCCAAAAGAUAAUUUCUAUCAAACUCCAAUCUUUAUGGCGAGAAUUUGAUAAUUUUCUCAUGAAAGAUAAUGAGAAAGUUCAAGUAUUCUACAAUAGGGUCUCCAACGUUAUCAACCAAAUUAAAAGUUAUGGAGACACUAUUGAAGAUAAGAAAGUUAUUGAGAAAAUUUUGCGAAGUUUACCCGCAAAAUUUGAUCAUAUUGUCGCCGCCAUAGAAGAAUCAAAAGAUUUGUCAAAAUUAUCAUUAUAUGAGCUAAUGGGUUCUCUUGAGGCGCAUGAAGAAAGGAUGAGCAGUAGGUCAGCAAGAAAGAAAAUUCAAGAAGCUUUUGGGGACAAGAAAGAAAAUUCAAGAAGCUUCCAGAAUCCCGGAGAAUUUAGCCGAGGAGAAAGCUCAAACUGGGGACGUGAAGGAAAAUUCAGCAACAACAACCAAAGGUAUGGCAAAAAUCCUUCUUCAAAACCUUAUUGCAAUGUUUGCAAAAAACCCGGUCAUAAAAGUGAAAACUGCAGAUAUAAAUGCACCACGUGUAAAAAGUUAAAUCACGUGGAUAAAGAUUGUUGGCUCAAGAAGAAAAAUCAAGCCAUGGAGAAAAAUGAAUCUCCAGACCAAGUAUUUUAUUCUUGCUAUAAUGCAAUGCAAGAACCUAAAGAUAUUUGGUAUUUAGACAGUGGCUGCAGUAAUCACAUGACCGGAGAUAAGAAAGGUUUUAUAAGUCUAGAUAAAGACGUAGAUUCUGAAAUUAAGCUAGGAGAUGGUAAACUUCAGAAAAUAGAAGGAAAAGGAAUAGUUACAGUAAAAAUUGGAGAAGGAGCAUCUAAAAAUAUGCAUGAUGUUCUGUAUGUCCCCGGUCUUGCUCAAAACUUACUAAGUGUUGGGCAACUUAUCCAGAAAGAGUAUAUUGUGCAUUUUGAAGAUAAUGAAUGCAUAAUUUACGAUAAAAGAAAGAAGCAGGUGGUUGCCAAAGUACAGAUGACAGAAAAUAAGGUUUUUCCAUUGGUGAUGUCAUCGGUACAAAAUUAUGCCAUGAAAGCAACUGCAGUUGAUGAAACUGAAUUAUGGCAUUUACGAUUUGGGCAUUUGAAUUAUAGAGCCUUAAGGGUUCUAAAGUCCAAAAAUAUGGUGAUUGGGCUAUCUAGUAUUGGUGGAGAAGUUAGAGUUUGUGAAGGCUGCAUUUUUGGGAAAUUUCAUAGAUUUCUCUUUGCUAAGUCAUCAUGGAGAGCCAGGAAGUCUUUAGAAUUGGUUCACGCUGACAUAUGCGGACCAGUUCGAACACCGUCAUUAAACAACAAAAGAUAUUUUCUUUUGUUUGUUGAUGAUUACAGCAGGAUGAUGUGGGUGUACUUCCUAGAACAAAAACCGGAAGCAUUCACCACAUUCUUGAAGUUCAAGGCGCUCGUUGAAAAACAAAGUGGGCAUUCCUUAAAGGUGUUACGCACUGAUCGAGGAGGAGAAUUCACAUCUAAGGAGUUCAACAAAUAUUGUCAAGAUCAAGGAAUCAAGAAGGAGCUGACAGUCCGAUACACUCCUCAACAAAAUGGCGUGGCAGAAAGGAGGAACAGGACGAUCGUGGAGAUGGCUCGGAGCAUGCUGAAGGGAAAAGGCUUACCAAACAAACUAUGGGCUGAAGCUGUCAACACCGCGGUCUACAUUAUCAACCGUUCGCCAACUAAAGUAGUGCGAGACAGGACGCCGUAUGAAGCAUGGCAUCAUCAAAAGCCCACGUUAACUUCUCUCAAAGUCUUUGGAUGCAUCGCAUAUUCUCAUAUUCCAUCAAAGCACAGAGAAAAGUUUGAUGAGAAGGGAGAAAAGCUCAUCUUCAUCGGGUAUAGCGAAGAAUCCAAAGCUUACAGGCUACUUAAUCCCAGGACCAAUGAGUUAGUAAUCUCCAGAGAUGUCAUCUUUGAUGAGCAUAAUGCAUGGAGUUGGGAUGAUGGUUGAAGAAGAAGAAUCAACCCAAGAACAACCAGGUCCAGAACCUGAAUUAGUUACUCCGCCAACAUGCCCAAGAAGUUCAUCUUCAUCAGGGUCAAGCUCUCCCCCAAGAAAGGUACGUCCUUUACAGGAUAUUUACAACUCAUGCGGUCCAGUUGCUUUUCUUGGUUGUGAACCACAAAAGUAUGAAGAAGCAGCAACUGAAGAAAAAUGGAGAAAAGCUAUGGAUGAAGAAAUGAAAGUCAUCCAUAAAAAUGAAACAUGGGAGCUGGUUGAAAAGCCCAAAGAGAAAGAAGUUAUUGGGCUGAAAUGGGUCUAUAAGACCAAGUAUAAUGAAGAUGGCUCUAUCCAGAAGCACAAGGCUCGGCUUGUCGCAAAAGGUUAACAACCUGGAAUAGACUUUAACGAGACAUUUGCGCCCGUUGCAAGGAUGGAGACAAUUCGUACAGUACUACACUAUGCAGCAGCCAAGAGAGUACUGAGAUAUGUCAAAGGAACGAAAGGAUUCGGCAUCAACUACAAGAAGGAGAAAGAUAACAAGUUAGUUGGCUAUACAGAUAGCGAUUGGGCAGGAUCAAUAGAUGACAGGAAGAGCACUUCAGGUUAUGUUUUCUUCCUAGGUACGAAGGUGAUCACAUGGUCAUCAAGAAAGCAAAAUACAGUGGCACUAUCGUCGGCAGAAGCAGAGUACAUGUCAGCAACAAGUACAGCUUGUGAGGCAGUAUGGCUUCGAAGAAUUCUGGCAGAUUUACAACAAGAGCAAGAAGGUCCUACUACAAUAUAUUGCGAUAAUAUGUCUGCAAUAGUUAUGACCAGGAAUCCAGUGUUCCAUAGCAGGUCAAAGCACAUUGAGUUGCGUCACCACUUCAUCAGAGACUUGGUUGAAAGUAAAGAGAUCGAGCUACAAUUCUGCAGGACUGAAGAUCAAUGUGCCGACAUAUUAACCAAGCCACUUGGAGGUGAAAAUUUUCAUCACUUUAGGAGGAGCAUGAACAUUACAGAUUAAGUGGGGGUGUUAAAAAUGUAAUCUGUAAUGUCCAAGUCCAGAAAAGCCCAGUCCAUAGAAGUGUCUAGAAGCAUAAAGAAUUAUCUAGUCCAUAGAAGUGUCCAGAAGCAUAAAGAAUUAUCUAGUCCAUAAAAGUGUCCAGAAGCAUAAAGAAAUAUCUAGCAUGAGAAAAAAUCAGAACUAUGUAGAACAAUUAAAGUCGGUUAUAAUGUCCUAUAAAUAGGGAGGUGAACAUGUUGUUUGAAGAAUCAAUCAAGAAAAGAAGUUCUCUAGUACUAGAAGUCUUCUUUUGUAAUAAAAACAAAGUUUUUUUUAUAAACUUGUCAUUUUGUCAUAUUCUUCUUCUUGACUCUCAUAUACCCACUAACACUUCCAUUGUUUUAACAGCAUCCUAUAGCAAUAAAAGUAUUAGCUCAUUCUAACUAUAUGGUGAGCUGCAAUCAUGGACUGCAGAAUGCGAAAGGAAUUCAUCCAUCAACAGAAAAAAAAAAAAAAAAAAAAAAAAAAAAAAAAAGAGUGGAGUGCGUCGAGGAAACAUAGAACAAGUGGCAAGCAAAACAGAGAAUCAACACAUAAAUGUUGGAAUUUCCACUUAUAAAAGCCCAACCCAUAAUGUGGUCCAUGUAUAUUUAACAUUGGUUUAAUAUAGAAAUAAGCUAAUUAGUAAUAGGUUAUGUGGAAGUCAUAUCUACCGUAGAUCUUAACUAUGAUGGAUGGUCUAGAUCUAAUGGGUUUAGGUUUUGUAGAUUUAGGUCCUCUCUCCACCUCUAUAAAUAGGUGUAUGAUCUCCAUCCUUAUACACUUACUAUUACAUCACAUAUUAAGGUUUUAGAGGCAAGGAGAGAGAAACCUAGAUCUUGUGCAACUUCUCAAAUCAUCAAUAGCUAUGGACAAAGGUAUGUGUAGUGAUUAAUUAUAUGAUUCAUGAUCCUUAUUGUUUAUCAAUAAUAUUAUUAUGUUUAUAUGUGGUAUCAGAGCCAAUAUGAAUCAUGUUUUUACUUCUACAAUUACUGUAAAAUAAAAUUUUGUAUUAUAGUUCCGCAUCAAGAAACAAUGUUUAUUUUAUUUACGGUUCAAUCAUGUUCUUGCACAAUUUGUUUUGUUACAUGAUUAAAUAACGUAAAGUGUGUAUUAUAAAGGGUCUUUGGGUUUUCUCUCUGGUUAUAGGCAAUAGUAUUUUUAUUUUAUUUUUGACUUUAACAUCACCGUCCAAUAUAAUAUUAUGUUAUGAUUCUAAAGUAAGAAGCAGUAUUCUUUAUUUUAUCAUGGUUGCUACGUUUCACUAAAUUUAUUUUAGCAGUAUUCUUUGAAUUGAAUCAUGCCUAUGUAGUGUAAUAUGGUUGACUGGACACAUAAAAUUAUGUCUGUACGUGUUGUUUUUCAUUGCUACGGGACCUUUGGGACUUAUGAAGUACCCUUUUUCACCAAUUAAAAAUCUUGUUGACUAUAAUAUGCAUGAUGCUUGUUUAAUUGAAUUAAUUAAUGUAUGCAGCACAAAUUCUACCCACAUACUCACAUGCUUCAUGGUUAUGAUUAAUAAAGGCUAGCAAGUUUUAAAAGACGUGUAAAUUAAUGUGUCAUCAGAAUCAAUAUGCAGUAACAAUUUAUUGUUUUUCUGUGUAUUCAUGAAAGUUCUUAGUAGACAGAGUCCACAUGAGGUCAUGGUGUCAAAGGGACAUUAAAGAUUAAAAAGUAACUUAGGAAUUAUUGAAUCAAAAUCCCAAACUGUUUUGACCAAAUUUGAAUUGUCUUGAAUCUUGAUUGGUCUGGUUCAGCCCAACUACCCAAACUGUUUGGAUUAAAUUGCACCUAGUCGCCUUUACUGUUAUAACUUAUAACUCAUUAUGAAAGUGUUAUGGGUAAAACUAUGUGUAUAAUAUUAGUAGUUUGGUAUUAAAUUCUUGUUGUUGUGCAUUAUGUAUCACGUGUAAAACUGUAAAGGUAAUUUUAUAACAAGAAAAGUUUUUGUAUUCACCACAGUGAUUACAACACUAAGUGUUAUGAAAAUUAUAUUUUUCUGUUUAAUAUUCAUGACAAGUUUUUAUUGGUAUAUCACCACAGUGACUCCAAGUAUGAGUAUGAAUAUUGAAUAUUAAUUUUCUUGAACAUUCAUAUUACGUUUGGUAUCACCACAGUGAAUCAAAUUAUUUUGAAUGUUAGACUAACUAUCUCAUCGGCUUUUAUUAUUCACUUGCAUUAUUGACUUACCCACAGGUAGAUCAAGCAUAUGUUAGAUUGGAUAAUAUUAUGGGGUUGCUCAUAUUUAUGAUUAAAUAAGUGUAGGAUAUCCACAGAUACCAUGCUUAGUUUGAUUAUAUAAUAUGUCACCCAAGUAUGUUCUUUAUCAAAUCUUAGUCAUAUUAGUUUAAUUAUGUGUUAAUUAAUGUAGUGAGUAUGUUUUACUUUUAUUGCAGUUUCCCUCCCCAUUAGUCUUAAUUCGCAUGCUUCAUCUGUUCCUAUCCUGAAUGGAACUAACUUUUCGGACUGGAAUGAACAAGUCCAAUUUAACUUGGGAGUUCUAGAUCUAAAUUUGUGUUUCCUCUCUGAUGAACCCGCUGCUAUUACUAAUGAAAGCAGUGAGGCUGAGGCAAACAUGCAUUAUUCAUGGACUAGAUCGAACAGACUAAGCUUAAUGUUUAUGCGAAUGACUGUUGCAAACAACAUUAAGUCAUCUCUCCCUGAGACCACCUCAGCUAAGGAGUAUUUGAAUAACAUUAAAGAACGUUUCCGCACUGCUGACAAAUCACUGGCUUGAAAAUUAAUGGCAGAACUGACUACCAUGCGUUUUGAUGGUACUCGGAGUAUGCAUGACCAUGUUCUUGAGAUGACUAAUCUGGCUGCAAAAUUGAAGAAAUUAGGCAUGAUUGUGGAUGAUUCGUUUCUUGUCCAAUUUGUCCUAAAUUCUUUGCCUCCUCAGUAUGGGCAUUUUCAGAUUCACUAUAACACUAUUAAGGAUAAGUGGAAUGUGAAUGAAUUGUCCAACAUGUUGGUUCAAGAAGAGGCACGUCUUAAGCAGCAGAAUACUCAUGUCCCUCAAGCUAAUCUCAUGGUUCAAGGAGUUGGAAAGAACUAUUCGAAAAAGAACGCUGGGAAAGGCAUGAAGCGUGGCCCACCCAAGCAUAAUGAAUCUGAUAAAUCUACACCAAAGAAAGGAAAAAGUGAUUUGAAAUGUCAUUUCUGUAAAAAGACUGGGCACUUUCAGAAAAAUUGCUUGAAACGUAAAGCUUGGUUCGAAAAGAAGGGUAAGCCUUGUGCUUUUGUAUGUUUUGAAUCAAACUUGAUUGAAGUUCCUUCUAACACUUGGUGGAUUGAUUCGGGUGCUAAUGUUCAUGUUUCAAACUCGAUGCAGGGAUUCCUUACAACCCAGACCAUAAGUCCAAAUGAGGCCUUUCUCUACAUGGGAAAUCGAGUUAAAGCCCAAGUUGAAGCCAUCGGAACUUUUCGUUUAGUUUUAGAUACUGGUCAUAUUUUAGACUUACAACAAACUCUUUAUGUUCCUUCUGUUUCUCGUAAUUUAUGUUCUAUGUCCAAACUAGAUCUUGAUGGCUAUUCUUUUAAAAUAGGAAGUGGUUGUUUAAAUUUGUUUAAAAAUUCAUCCCUUGUUGGUUCUGGAAUUUUGAUGAAUGGUUUAUAUCGAGUUAAUCUAGAACAUACUUUUUCUGAAUCACUUCUUACCUUGCAUCCUAAUGUUGGAACUAAACGAAGUUCAAUGAAUGAGAAUUCAUCUUUCUUGUGGCAUAAAAGAUUGGGUCAUAUAUCCAAAGAAAGAGUACGUAGAUUAGUAAAAGAAGGGGUUCUCCCGAACCUUGAUUUUACUGAUUUUGGUGUGUGUGUGGAUUGCAUUAAGGGCAAGCAAACCAAACACACAAAGAAAGGAGCCACAAGAAGUACACAGCUUCUUGAAAUAAUACAUACAGACAUAUGUGGACCUUUUGAUGUUCCAUCUUUUGGUGGAGAAAAGUAUUUUAUUACCUUUAUUGAUGAUUUUCCUCGUUAUUGUUACAUCUAUCUAUUGCAUGAUAAAUCUCAAUCUGUAAAUGUUGUUGAAAUUUACAUAACUGAAAUUGAGAGGCAGUUAGAUAGAACAGUGAAAAUUAUACGAUCUGAUAGAGGUGGUGAAUUUUAUGGAAGGUAUGAUGAAACGGGACAACAUCCCGGUCCUUUUGCCAAACUUCUAGAGCGGUUAGGAAUUUGUGCCCAAUACACAAUGCCUGGUUCUCCAUGGCAGAAUGGUGUAGCUGAAAGGCGCAAUCGAACACUUAUGGAUAUGGUUCAAAGUAUGAUGAGUAAUUCUAACUUACCCAUAUCGUUGUGGAUGUAUGCUCUAAGCACUGCGGUGUAUAUUUUGAAUCGGGUUCCAAGUAAGGCAGUUCCAAAGACACCUUUUGAACUGUGGAAAGGGUGGAAACCUAGUUUAAAACAUUUACACAUUUGGGGCUGUCAAGCCGAAGCUAGAAUAUACAAUCCACAUGAAAGGAAAUUGGAUCCGAAAACAAUUAGUGGUUACUUUAUCGGUUAUCCAGAAAAGUCCAAAGGGUAUAGAUUUUACUGUCCUAAUCAUACCACUAGAAUAGUUGAAAUUGGAAAUACAAGAUUCAUUGAGAAUGGCGAAUUAAGUGGGAGUGAUCAAAUCAAAGAAGUAACCAUUAAAGAAAUUAGGGUACCAAUUACGUUACCCUGACUUCAUAAAGAUAUUAAUGUUACUCCUAUUGUUCCUCAUGUUGUAGUACCAUUAAACAACAAUGAACAACAAGUAGUUGAUCACCAAUCAAAUAAUGAGAUUGUCGCUAUUGAACCGAUCGCAAAUACACCUCAAGAAGUAACAUUAAGAAGAUCUCAAAGAUCACGAAAACCAGCUAUUUCGGAUGAUUAUUUGGUGUAUUUGAUAGAUUCUGAAAUUAAGGAUCCAGUUACGUAUUCACAAGCUAUUACUUGUAGUAAUUCUGAUAAAUGGAUCAAUGCCAUGAAUGAAGAGAUAAAGUGUAUGGACUUUAAUGAAGCCUGGGAUAUAGUAGAAUUGCCUGAAGGACACAAGGUAGUCGGGAGCAAAUGGCUUUACAAAACCAAACGCGACUCGAAAGGCAAUAUCGAACGACAUAAAGCUAGACUUGUAGCCCAAGGCUUUACUCAGGAAGAGGGUGUUGACUACAAUGAAACCUUCUCACCUGUGUCCAGGAAGCAUUCCCUUAGAAUUAUUAUGGCAUUGGUAGCUCAUUUUGGCUUGGAGCUACAUCAAAUGGAUGUGAAAACGGCAUUUCUGAAUGGAAGUUUGGAUGAAGAAGUCUAUAUGGCUCAGCCAAAGGGCUUCACAAAAGAAGGACAAGAACACAUGGUCUGUUUGUUAAAGAAGUCAAUAUACGGACUUAGACAAUCUUCCCGACAAUGGUACCUAAAGUUUCAUGGUAUCAUUACUUCCUUUGGGUUUACUGAAAACACUGUUGAUCAGUGUAUAUACCUGAAGGUCAGUGGGAGUAAGUUUAUUUUCCUGGUUCUGUAUGUUGAUGAUAUAUUACUUGCCAGCAGUGACUUUGGUUUAUUACAUGACACAAAAGAAUUACUUUCCAAACACUUUGAGAUGAAGGAUAUGGGGGAGGCAUCCUACGUGAUAGGAAUAGAAAUAUUUCGGGAUAGAUCGCGUGGAUUGUUGGGAUUGUCUCAGAAAGCUUACAUCAAUAAAGUUUUGGAUAAAUUUAAUAUGUUAAUGUGCAAUUCAGAUGUUGUUCCAAUUCAGAAGCGGGAUCAUUUCGAAUUAAGUCAAUGUCCUAAAAAUGAAUUGGAACGAGAACAAAUGAAAGAAAGACCUUAUGCUUCUAUGGUAGGGAGUAUGAUGUAUGCACAAGUUUGCACCAGACCAGACAUUAGUUUUCCUCUCGGAGUAUUAGGUAGAUAUCAAAGCAAUCCAGGACCUGCUCAUUGGGCAGCUGCUAAGAAAGUGCUAAGGUAUCUACAAGGGACCAAAGAUCACAUGCUCACAUUUAGAAGAACUGAUCAUCUCGAGGUGAUUGGUUACACAGAUUCAGAUUACAAUGGAUCUGUGGACAGUAGGAAAAACACUUUUGGCUAUGUGUUUAUGCUCUCUGGGGGAGCCAUUUCUUGGAAGAGUGGUAAAGAGAGCAUCAUUGCUGGGUCCUCUAUGGAAGCCGAAUUUGUAGCUUGCUUUGAAGCUAAAAAUCAAGCAUUAUGGCUGAGAAAUUUUAUUUCAGGACUUAGAGUUAUUGACUCUAUAUCUAGGCCGCUGAAAAUUCAUUGUGAUAAUGCCUCAGCUGUAUUCUUCUCUAAGCAUGAUAGGUAUUCUAAAGCUAAUAAGCACAUGGAUAUGAAAUACUUGUCAGUUAAAGAAGAAGUUCAGAACAAGCGAGUGUCAAUUGAACACAUUAGUACAAAAGUUAACAUAGCAUAUCCACUAACUAAAGGUUUGAAACCCAACAUAUUUUUGCAACAUGUUGACAAGAUGGGUAUUGAGUGUAACCCGUAACUUGAUAAUUUGUGGAUUGUUUAGUGCUUAUUUUCUACAUUAUUUUGAGCUCAUUAUUAUUAAUUAAGUUCUGAACACUUUUCUGUUCUCCAUUGUUUAUGUACAUGUAUGUGAAUGGAUGAUUGUUGACAGAAAUAGUCUAAUAAAGACAUUAUUGGACCAUUAUUGAUACUUCUGCUUAUAGACCUAGUUAAUUAAAUUGUUAAUAUCGUAGUACAUGGAAGGAACCAUGUCAUAUAUGCGAUGUGGAAACCGCCAUGACUCAUGUUAAUGGUUUGAUUGAUGAUGGUAUUAUGAUAACCAUUUCGAAAACUAAUUUAGCUCUUAUUGCGCGUCUUAUGUAUUCUACAUUAAACCGUAUAUGAGAGUUUAUUAUGGACCAAGUGGGAGACUGUUGGAAUUUUCACUUAUAAAAGCCCAACCCAUAAUGUGGUCCAUGUAUAUUUAACAUUGGUUUAAUAUAGAAAUAAGCUAAUUAGUAAUAGGUUAUGUGGAAGUCAUAUCUACCGUAGAUCUUAACUAUGAUGGAUGGUCUAGAUCUAAUGGGUUUAGGUUUUGUAGAUUUAGGUCCUCUCUCCACCUCUAUAAAUAGGUGUAUGAUCUCCAUCCUUAUACACUUACUAUUACAACACAUAUUAAGGUUUUAGAGGCAAGGAGAGAGAAACCUAGAUCUUGUGCAACUUCUCAAAUCAUCAAUAGCUAUGGACAAAGGUAUGUGUAGUGAUUAAUUAUAUGAUUCAUGAUCCUUAUUGUUUAUCAAUAAUAUUAUUAUGUUUAUAAUAAAAUCAUAGACAAACAAAAGUUAUCAAGCAAAAUCCAUAAUAAUUUCAAUACUGUUUCAAACUGGAGAUUUGUUUUUUUUUUUUUUUUUUUGACAUUUCUUAUCUCCAAUUUUGAUAUUCAGAAAAUUCCUGCUGGAUGUGGUAGCACAUUCGUACUCUGCUGGAUUUCUGAAGAUCGGUAGAUUCGUAUUUAUCGAUAUUCAAAAAAUUCCCUCAACAUCUAUCAACUGCUAAGUGCUACCAAGCGAAACAACAAAUUCAUAACCGUGGACAUGAGUAAUCUUUUUCAGCCUGUCAAGUGGCACCCCCACACACUGAGACUGGAUUUGCUAAAAAGGGAAAUCAGUGAAAAUAUCAUAAUUAGAACAUGUAACAGUAAGUCCUAACUCCCAAGUCCUAAUAUCUCUCUCAAUGAGUAGCCAUUCAUACCAUAACCCUGAGCUCAAAGUUUUAUAGCUCAGGUAGAACUCUGCAUAUAUAUAUAUAUAUAUAUAUAUAUACAUCACAAUAACAAAUAUCAAGCUAGCCAUGUCAUAAAAUUAGAACAACGGUUUAAAAUUUUCAACAAAGUUGGAAUAAGAGGGGUCACUGUCACACCAUAUUACAUGUAGAUGAAAGAAGCUGUGAGUUUAAAGGAUAACUAAGCAUAAUAUAAUAGCAAACAUUACAAAGCACAUUAUCGACAUAUCAGACAUAACUGCAUCUCAUUCAUUCUUAGCUAGGAAGUGCUCUGCAGCUUCAGGCUCCUUCAAGGUCCUAUUCAGUUCAAGCUUUUAUCCUAUAAUAAAUUUAAAAAAAAAAAAAAUGUAAACUUGUUGCAUGAUAUUUCAAUUCAAUAUUUGAUAUCAAUAAAAACAUACGCGCUUCUAGAAUUUAAGUUAAUAAGUUUGAAGCAUUACAGAGCAAAUCAAGCAAGAUUAAUCACCUAUAAUAAUGAGAAUGGAUAAGAAAUAAUAAUAAUAAAGUAAAGUAAAAAGGUAAAAUAAAACAACAAAUGACUCAAACAUUAAAGAAACUCUAUUCCAGACGAAAGGUUUCGAAGAAAUACUUUUAUUACAUAAACUUCAUUGAUGAUCCCUUAAUUUUUACCUACCCUUAGUUUUGAUCUCAAAUUAUGAUGUUUAGAAAAAAAAUAUUAACACAAAUAUAAUGUCAAUUAUGCUUUGAAAGAACUUUUAGAGAGCUUGUGAAUCUGAAAAUAUAUUUCAUGUACUUUUAAGCAUAUACAGGGUGGGAAACAUAGCUAAGAUUCUCAUAGAAGUGUUACAUCAUCUUACAAUUAAUAAUAGAUAAUGGCUUUAUUGUCAAAAUUCCAAUAGAAUCAAAUGUUGUAGUGUUGUACUAUAUCAGAUUUUUUCAGUUGGGAGGACUAAAGAAUCCUAAGAAAAAAAUUUCCUCAGUUGGGAGAACUUUGAGAAUUAAUAUAACUAAAUAUGUCACCUUUUUCAAUAGAACAAAUCUCCUGAACUUUGAGAUAUAUUCAAUGAAUGCUUCAGCUAUUAAAUUUGUAUACCCAUUUCUUACAUUUUAUAAAAACCCUAACUUCAAAAUAUUGCGAAAUUGGUUUAACUUUUAAAAAAGCCUAAAAAUUUAAAUGUCAAUCAAAACCAUAAAAAGAGAGUUGUUACCUUGGGGUGAAAAGUUAUGGAGCAGCUCGUAGGAGGAGGGAAAUAGGCUUUUUGGAGAUAUAUUAUUUGAGCAAUUCUGACACCCAAAGCACCAACUCCCGCCAAAAACAUCUUCGUACCAUAGCUCCACUAGAGAAAAAGAGAGAUUGAAAAACCAAAACAAUUCCGAUCAGAGAGAAUGAAUUUCGUUUGUUUUUUUUUAAGGUGCUGUUGUUUUUCUUCUUCUUUAGAUCAAAACGUAAAUUUCAAGACGUAUAGAGAGGUUUUUGAAGAAAAUAUUGGAUUUUUUUCAAGAGUUUGGGAUUCGAAAGUUAAUCCAGGAAAAUAAGACAAGGGUUGAGACUGAAGAGUUAUUAAAAAAAUCCAUGUGCAUUUUGUUGAUAAUUUGUAUAGUAUCGAAUGAAAAACUUGAAAUUUCCCACCCGUAUAAGCAUCUUUUAUUGUUGCAAAAUUGUCUCUCACAACAUGUAGUCACAAUCUGAACAUGCAGUUUUGAUGAAAACAUUCUAUUAAAUUCCAGUUAUGUCACUUAUUAGUUUCUAGCCGUUUUGCAUGGCUAGAACAAGUGUUCUACAACAAGCUCUAGCUCAUUACAUAUUUACAUUGGGAGUUUGUCAAUUUGAUAACAUUCUGUAUGACAUCUUGCAGCUGCUGCUUUGUAUCCUAGCUAGUUGGUUUGUAAACCACUAAUCCACUAUGUCAAUUUGAUAACUGCCCAAAAGAUAUUAGGAGCUGCUUCCUAACUUAGCUUCUUCUGUUUGGUGACUUAAGAGUUAAGACCAGUGUUUACAAACUCUAAAUGUUCUUAUUAUCAUAAUUUCUCAUUUUUCUUUUCAGCAACUCUAAUCAUAGUGUCUGGGUGACACUUGACAGGCCGAGCUAGAUUAGCCUGUCUCUCUCCUAGAUAGUUUGAAAGAGCAAUCAUGUUAAGAUGAUUAUGUUGUCUCUCCUAGAUUAGUCAUGUGCCGUUUCUAGCAAUCCAUCUUCAGCAGCACGGGUGGAGUUCCUUGAAGCAUUGAACUUUAAACCUUGCACUGCCUUUUUCUUCUUUUUCCGGUUUUGGUACUUCGUGCGCAUGUUGAUCUGGAUUUUGGAAAGAGAUUCAUUUCUGUUUAAGGUUGGUGAUGAAAAAGAAUGGAAAAACUCAAAUAAAGGAAUAGUUCCAUAGCUUCUAUGAUUUCAAAAAAGGAAAUGGCAAUGAGACUCCUUUCACUUCAAGACAUUGGAAAUGGAAUCUUACCUGACAAGAGUGAACAAGUGGUAGUUGUAUAAUUUUGCUGAAAGCGGGUUUUGUGGGGUUUUAAGGAUUCAUAGGUAUAAUAUUUUUAGGUAGGAAGAUGUGGAAGCAAGGGAUCUUAGGUAGGAAACUACGUCUUCGACUUUGGUAUACAGGGCUCUCAACGAUGAUGACUGUGUCCGUGUGUGGAAGCAAGUCACACCUAGUCCCUGUGUGUUUCUCUCCAAUGGCAAUCGGUACCCUGUGUCCAUGUCCUAGGGGUCUUAAUAAUUUAGGGGUAUUGUCUUUCUAGCUGAUUAUAUUCAACUUCUUAUGCAGUGAUAUCAUGCAUGUAUUGAUUUUUCGCAAGUGAGUACAGAUAGUGUUUAGGGCAAUCACAUAAUUUUUGCCUCUUGCAUAUUAUUGAAAAUGCUUUAAAGAAAUACUGAAAGUGCAAUGAAAAAACUUGCCCAAUUACACCCAUAGAACCCAAUUACAAGUGCUACACUAUUGUUACACUAAGUCCAACAUAAGCAACCACCAAUUACAAGUUCUGCCCCUCUAACAGUCAUCGUUGUCCUCUUUGUCUGAGCUAAACCGAUGGUAUUGUAUUGUCUCCUACAAGUGGAAUCCUGCUCCAGUGCUCCACUUCAUAUGUUAUUUAACGUAAAAGAAAGGUGAAGGAAAACUCCGCUUUCUGUCCAUAAACAACGUAAGUUGUCUCUCAAAAUUUGAAAAUGAGACCUUACCAUGGAUAAAGAAAUGAUUUUUUUGCCUGUAGAGAUAUUUCAUCGACAAAGAAAAAAAAAAAAAGAACAAAGUUCACCAAUCUUCUCUGCCAUGGUGUUGCCUUCAACAUUCUCCCACACCUUAUCCUUUUUCUUAAUUGAGUCAAAAGACUCUACAACACCUUCAUAGAAUCUGCAGAACCCCAUCACAACUAUCAACAAUCGUGAUUAUCAUUUAUCAGAUACUGUAUGUCAAUCAAAUUCUUAUGCAAACACACAUCCCAAAUUGCUAUAGCAUUUUAUCACUAUAGAGCAAUGCAAGCACUUACAACCUCUCAUAUGGCCACCAAAAUUUUAUCUUGGAUCCAACCAAGUCCUCACCAGGACCUUUGCCAGAAGGCUUUUCAGAAGUCUCGAGUGUCUGACACACAAAAAUAACUUACAACCUCAUGUAAAACUCUCCCCUUUUUUGUCACAAAUGAUGCAAAAAGUGACAAACAAGGAACAAGCAACAAACAAACAGAAAAAGUAUAAAAAAGAGAGUAAAAGGGAACUAUGAGACCAAAAACAACAUUGUAGAAAGAAUGUACAAGAUCAAGAGAGCUAAGAGAACUCACAAAGAGUACGGAACAAAGAGGGCAACUAUGUAGAAAAUGGUGAAUAAAAAGAGAAGAGAAACUAGACACCAUAAACACAGAACAUGAACCAAUAGCAUUAGACCCAUAACAUGCAUUUAAGCAUAACAAACUGUGAGUUUAAGAACUCAAUAAAACAUAAGUUUAACAAACCGAAACAAAAACCAGAGAAAUAACUAGAAAGAAUAAACAUUUAUUCUUCCUCUUCAGAACCAGAAAGACCCUCCUCAUCAUCGUCUCCACUCUCAGAGCCAUCCCCAGGACCACUCUCCUCAUCAGGAACUGUAACUGCAGUAGUAGUAAGAGGAGGUAGCGGAGUAGGAGUAAAGUUAAUCUGCAAGUGCUGGAUAAUAGCAGCCAACAUCUUAUGAAUAUCACGAAGUAUAGUACCAUGUUGAUCUAAAACCUCAUCCUGUCGUGCUAAGUGAGCAUCUGUCCGCCUGUGCCUUCUCCUAAGAGAGGCAACCCGAGUAUCAAGAGCCGCAAGAGUAAGUACACCAGAACCACUCCCAGAAGAAGCACCCAAAGACGGAUGGAGAAUGAACUUAUCAUAGUCAUCAUUGGCCACAAGAGGACCACCAUCCAACACCAAAUGAUGAGUAAACGGCAAACCAACAGAACUGAAAGCUGACAUACGAGACCGACGAGCAAACUUCACUGACUUGGCCCAAUCCUUAGCCAAAAACUUAACUGGAGGAACGGGGUCAUAAGUCGAACUAAAACCCAAGUGAAUAAGAAUGCUCAUAAUGAUGCUAGGAAAAGGCAGAACUUUCAUCGACUGUUUGGCAUGGAGCAUACGAUGAAAAAUAACUUCAGCAAGAUGAAUGUGACACUCUGUCAUACAGUAUAGAAGUUUUACCAUUUCAGCCGAGAGAGAGUUUUUACCUCCCUUGGAUGGAUAGACAUUGGAGUAGACGAUAGUGUGAAGAAGAAUCAAAGAGAAAUCAUUGGCAUGAUGACGAUCAGCGACACCAUCAAUGAACAACCUCUGACAUGUCGCAGCAUGAUCAUAAGAGAAAUCCUCAGUAGUAGGCCAACGGACAUGCACAUCACCAUCCUCCUCUUGAGUGUCAAUCCCAAGUGCCUCAACAAUAACACGAGGAGUGAUAACAAACUCAGUACCAUCAAUAAAAACAGAAAACUGCUUGCCAGAAGGAUCAGGAGUGAGAGACUCGUAGAACAUGAUAGUAUGAAGAAUAGAACCAUCAACACGAGGUUGAACAAUAUUCAUCCAAUUCUCGUCAAUAUAAAACUCCUCAACAUCCUUCAACUGAUCACGACCCAAAGGACUUGAGCAAAUAUCGUUAAGAUCAAAAUACCUCUCAGGAACUAUAUCCUUAGCCUUAGGAUGGAUAAUUGGAAAUGGAGGAGAAGGAGCCGAAGAGGUAACAUCUUUGCCUUUGGAAGCACGAGUACCCUUGCCAGUAGAGGAGGCAACACCCUUGCCUUUCGAAGUAGCAGCAAUCUUAGCACCUGUAACAUGCUUACACUUAGGUGUCAUGGCCUGGAUACAUA
rnacentral:lncRNA from 1 species